rnacentral:lncRNA from 1 species
UUUUUUGAUGUUAUUAUGUAAACAAAUUAUAAGUAAAGAUUAUAUUUUGUUGGUAAAUAAAAUAACUAGAUAUUAUUUUAAAAUACAUAAAGAGAUUUAUUAAUGUAUAUUCACUUUUUUUAAUACAUUAAUAAAUUAUUACUAGAAAUCAUCUUAAAAUAUAUUUACAGUAUAACUUGCUAUCCAAGGACAGAGCCUUAAAUUUCAUUUGAAGAGAGCCAAGAAAAAAAUGCAUAAUUUAAUAAAAAAAAAUAUUUUUUCAUAUACAUAAAAUAUACAAAAAAGUUUCAUAUAUUAUAUAUCUAAUAUUUAUGAUUUUUUUAAACGUGUGUGUAACUAAUGACUAUAAAUAAAAAAUAUAUAACUAUCACAAACACUCAAUUAAUGACUAAUUUUUUUAUCUAGCUUUUUUCACCGCAUCAUGUUACCUAUUAUAUUUAUUUACACUUUCGUCUCUCCUUCCCUAUGUAUCAACUAAAAAAAUAAUAUAAUAUUAUAUAUUACAAAUUAAUAUUUUUAUUAAAAUAAUAUUAUUUAUAAACAUGUUUUUUACUAGGUUUUUUAGAAGUUCAAAGCUUUACUUACUAAACUAAAAAUGUUUUUUCUUUAAAUAAAACUUAGUCUACCUCUUUUUUCUAAAUAGGCUAGGCCCAAAUAAGCUUUAAAUGAAAACACAACAACAAUAUUAUGAAUAUAAAAAAAUGCAAAAAACAGGGACUAAAUCUAUAUGUUUUUUAGAAUUUAAGAUCAAAUUUAUUGUUGUGAAAAUAUAAGAAUUUUGAUCGUUUGACUUGAAUGUAAUGAUUAAAAACAUAUUUUUUGAAGAAAAAAAUAUUUUUCCAUAAUAAUAAUAUUAAAAAUAUCAGUCGUUACUUUUAGUUAACGAUUACAAUUUCAUAUUUUAUCAUAUCUAAAGUGCAUGAGUGCAUAGUGUUAUUAUUUUAUAAUAUUUGGUUUUGAUUUGACUGUAUUGUGAUGGGUUUCCUUGACAUAAACUCAUUUUUUUGGUAGUGCCUUAACUCAAUCUCAUAUACUAAUAUGUCAAAUUUAAAUGAUGACUACCGUCUAAUUGACACAGACAAAUAGUUACAUAAUUUGAACCAAAAUAUCCAAAUGACUAAAAUAUCAAUUUUAAGUGCUUAGUUUAACUAUGACAUAUUGAGUUUAAAAGCUUUUGCACUCUUAAUCACGGAUUGACAAAAUCAUUUGUCAAGCAUGUUUAAGUAAUCGUAUUAAAGGUGUCAUAUCAUAUCACUUUAUCAGUGAGUUAAAAUUAAGCAUAUAUACCUCAUUUUGCCCAUUUGGCACUACUUGUGCUUUAAUUUCAAUAAAUAUGAUUUGCACCGUGCUAGUUACUUAUGGAAGGGAAAUAUACUACACGAGUUGGGCUGCUCAGGUUGAGUUUCUACGCACUGCAAUAGUUCUCUCAAGAUGAAAAUGCUCCACACAUCGGAAAUGAUGAGUUUCCCUUGUGUAUAAGAGUUCUUAUACACAAUUGAAACCUGUUUCUGUUGUAUUAGUAGGAGGCGUGAAUUCAAAAAUAUACAACGGAAAUGAAUUCAAAAAAUAACACAAUGAAAAUAAGUUUCUAUAUUAAGUUUUUUUUAAUUCUUUUUUCUUAAAAAUAUUCAUACAACAGAAACAUCCGUUGUGUUAAUUUUAGUCAAUGAAACAUGUUUCCACCGGAGGUAUUUUUAGCUAAAUACCAAAAGAUAUUAUUUUCUUUUUACUGGUUUGGGAAUUUAAAUAGCAAUACAGAGGUUGCCAAUAGCAUAUCUGAUCCCUUCUCAAGUGCGUGGGGGUGGCAAUGGCACUUGAAGCCUUAGAAUGGGCUUACGUACGGAGAAAAUGGGUUUUUCGUUUUCCUUGGAUACAUACAAGACUAUAAAGAAGUCACCAGAUCCAAUCUGAAAAAGAAACGCAAUAAUGAAAAUAAGAAAAAGAUUGACACAGUUUCAUAACUAUCUUUUCAUGGAACAAGAGAUCUUAAAUUAAGAGGUCACUUCUCUCAGGAAGAUCAUGUUGGAAUCUCCCAACUUUAUUCUCUCAAGUUGAGAAAAUUAUCUGUCAUCUCUCAUUCUCCUUAUUGACAAUAGCCAAGAUUAUACGUAGUAUUUAUGCAGCACUAUUGCAUAAUAAUGACUGCGUUUUGUGUUCUUUAACGAGUACAGACUCGUUGGAUCACCAUAUUCAAGGCCAUAACGUUUUGAAUCUCUGUCAUCCCUCUCUGUUGUCAUCAUUUGAAGUCAUCAAACCUAUACUUGUUAAUAUCUAUCCAAUGGUUGGUGUGACGUUUGGUUAGCUUUGUACAACACUGGUUGUGUUCAGUUGCUGCUAGUGAAGUUGGCUUAAGAGGUGAGUGAUGAGAGCUUCUAACCUAGAGCUAGCAGUGAGUGUGUGAGAAGAGUGAUUGUUGAAAAAAAUGAGGUGCCAUAUAACUAUAUAAGUGUGUGUUGGCUGUGAGUGAAAAAGACAACUAUUAGCCAGAUACCAUGUGGUGUGUGUAUAUAUUUGGAGAUACAUAAGCCUAGUCUAGUGGCCAAGGAAGAAGAAAAAUGAAGAGAUAUUAUGUCUUUCAAUUUUUUCACUAACAAAAAUUAAUAUUAUUACUGAUUAAAAUUUACCGAUGAAAAACAACUCUGUGGUGUGUGCUGGAGAUAAAAAAAAAAAAAAAGUCAUUAUCUGGACAUGAUAUUAAACACUAAUGCUGCCAGUAAAAUAGUCAAGCAUGAAAACACCAAGUCACGUGGCCUUUAAUUGGCUCAAAAUAGAAUCAAAGAGCUCUCUAUUGCCUUUUGUUUUUUGUUGUUUGUAAUUUUUAAUUUUUAUAAAAAAAAGGUAAAUAAAGUAAAAGAAAUAUUUUUAAUUUUUAAUUCUUUUUAAUUGAUACAAAAGGGAAACGUUCAUUGAAGCAAAUAAAAAAAGGUUUUAAUCAUUUUUUUCAUUCAAGAAAUUAAAUAAAGAUCAAGUGAUAUAAAAAGAGUCAAAUUGGACGUUCACAUUUUUUUUUUGUUUUGAAUGUAAAUAUUUUUUUCCUUUCCUUGAAAUAAUUUUGUUGUUGUAUUUUAUAUAUAGAUUUUCUUCUUUUUAUAUUUUUAUCAUAGACGAAAUUGAGUAAUAGUAAAAAUAAAAAAUAUUUAAUUUUUUUCUCCCUCUUCAUUUAUUGUGGAAUAUUAAUUACUACCCUCUUUUUUCUUAAUCCGACAUCCUGUACGAUUGAACACAUUUUAGACCACACCCUAAUUAACAUAAGUUGCUAGACAAAAUAUUUUUUGUUUUUCAUUUUAAUAUUAUAUAAUUUUUACAAUUCUACUAAUUUAAGUAACUAAAAAGUCAUAAAAAAUAUAUGUAGAAUCAUAAAAAAAGUAACUAAAAAAAAUCCAAUCCUGCAACUCUACAAAGUUGUUUAAAUGGACCCCACAAUUUCUAAAACGUACCUGUUGUUUGGUUGAGCAAUCCACUGUAUUGUUUUUUCAGUUUCUCUUUACAACUGGUAUAUAAGUUACUACAUGAGUUGCUAAUUUAAAAUAGACUAAAUUUUAAUUUUUAUCACUAUCUUUAAUUAUUUUAUGUGAUUUUAGUUUCCAAUUUUUUUUAAAAUUCAUAGUUUUAAUCAAGUUUUCAACUACAUAUUACUGAUGUACACGUUGAUUCAUGAUGUCAGUAUCGUGAUGCGGUAGAAGUUAACAUUUAAUAGUUAGAAAAUAAUUUAAUUAAUUAAAAUGUAAAAAAAAAAGAGUCAUAAUUAAUAACAUAAUAAUAGCUUAUUUUUUUCAUUAAUGACCAUUUAUUUUUUAUGAGUAAACCAUUAAUGACCAUUUAUUCAAAAAAGAGGAUAUAAAAUUUAAUUAAAUAGACAUCUUUAAUUUUUUGAUGUUUUAACGUGCCAAUAAAUACACAAGAUGAAAGCAUUAAUUCCACUCCUUUAAAUAUUUUAUAAAAUCAGCAUUUAAACCUAUAAUUUAUCUUUUAUUUCCAUUUAUCCGUUACAUUUAAUUAUAAUUUGACCUUUUCAAUUAUGAUAAUUUGAUUGUUAGAAAAAAUAAUGACUUAAUAAAGAAGUCACUAUUUUUACUUAUUUAAAUAUGCUAUAAAAAAUAAAAAUUGAUAUUUUAAUCUAUUAAUUUGAUUUUUCAAUUACAAUAAAUUUAUACCGUUGCAAAAACAAAAUAAAAAGCUUGAUAAAAAAGUUAAAUUGAAACAAAAAAGGCAAAUAACCAAAAUAUGGUAAAAAUUUAAAAACAAUCAAAUUAUUUCUAAACAUUUCAAAUUAUUAAAAGAAGCAAUUUUAAACUAUGAUUUAAUAUAUUUUUUUAUUUUUUUUUUAUUUUACUUUUGUCUCUUCUUGUGAUAGACACCCGUUAACUAUUGCUUUUUAAGAACGUACUUGAAGUUGAACAGUACUUCAGUAGUAAACAGUUCAACUUCGGUUUUUGUUCUGAUAUCUCAUCUAAUCUCAACUAAAAUCCAAAUAUCCAAUCCCCAUAAAACAGAUUUUUAUUAUUUUCCACCAAUGGAUCCUGGCUUCGCCGGAGCACCGCCGGGCACGGCGGUGUUCGAUCAGAUUCUGGCCGAGGAACCAGAUAGCUCGUUGCUUCACCGGAACACCUUCUCCGGCGACUCCUUCUCUAUCCCCGACACCUUCGAGGACGUUCUAAACUUUGAUUUAGAACAGUUUGAUUUUGACAUACUAAACUCCCCACCACCGUCGCCGACGCUUCCGCCGACCGUCACCGUUGAUUCAGCUUCCUCCGUGGAAUUAAAAGCGCAGGCCUCGGAGGUCGGCCCGGUAGGGCCCACUGCGGGACUCGACCUCGGCGGAGAGAGGAAGGGGAAGCGGCGUCUCCGGAACAGCUAUACCGUUGGGGCGUAUGGGCCACUGGUAUCUCGGGGGAAGAGGACCAUGAACUCUGAGGAACUUGCUGAACUUGCUAGGGUUGAUCCCAAGAGGGUUAAGAGGUGGUGUUAAUUACAUUUUCAUUUUAAUUAUUUUUUCAAUAAAAUAAUUUAAAAGACUUAACAUGGUAAUUUUAUAAAAUAAAAUAUGAAAUUUACAUAUAAAACUGUUUAAUUUUUCUUAUUUAUAAUCAUUAAUCUUUUAUGUUAAUAAAUUAUCACUAUUUAUUUAUUUUAAAUAUUACAGUUAAAAAUAAUGAAAAUAUAAUAAUUAUUUUUUUUGGAAGUAAUUAAGACCUUUGUUUGAUUGAUUUUUUGAGUGGUAUUUUGUAGACACCCAUCUUCGUCGAACCUCUCGAUCCUCUUCAGCCAAAUUCCUAUAUAUGCAAAUAAUGUUCUGCAACAUCACUUGUUAAAAAUGAAAAGUAUUAAUGAAUAAAAUAGGUUUCGUUUUCAAGGAAAAAGAGUUAGACCAAAUAUUACUUUAAUUAAAUUGGUCUGAAUAAGUUUUUUACUCAUGUGUGGGUGCAUCUGCGCAGCAAAAGUAUUGUAGUCGACCAAAUGGAACACAUGUUUGAGAUUGCUCUUCAAGAAAUAAUACUUCCUUCGUUACUUUUUAUAAGAAAAAAAAUUAAAAUAUAAAUAAAAUUCAACUACUUUUAUCUUAUUAAAUAAGAUUAUAUUUAAAAUAUUUUUCAUUUAAUGGAAGAAUUGUGUUUAAUAUCAAAUUCUAAUGAAAAAUAGUUUAAAAAUAUUAUUAUUUUUAAUUGGGAAUAACACAAUAUAAUGAAAUAAAUUAAUUUUUUAAUAAGUAUGAAAUAACUUAUUUUUUUAUUAUAAAAGAGAUAGAAGGAAAUAGUUUUUAAAAAAAUCAUUUUAUCAUAUGCACUUGGGAAAUAAGUCUUCGGGGUGUGGUGUUCUCAGUGAUAUAAGUUGAAUUGUUUUGUUCUGUAGGAUUCUUUGCAAUAGAAAAUCUGCUGCUAAAUCAAAGGAAAGGAGAGUGAUUUAUGAGAAAGAUUUGCGAGAAAAGGUCCCGCAGCUUGCGAUUCAAUCAGCUAACCUAGAUGCUAAACUUAGAUUUCUUGCGGUAUGUGUUUUCCUUUUCAAUUUUAUUAUGUUUCUAAGCAUAAAUGUGGCAACUUGGGUGUUAACAAUGCUAUAGAGAUUAUUUAACUGAUAAUUAUGAAUUGUGUGGUGGCAAUAACACUUUGUGGAAAACACCCUCGAAAUAGCGAUGCUCUCUUUCUUAGAAAAAGUUGUGAAUUGUGAAUACUUAAAAUUAAAGGUCCAUAGUAUGGUAAUAAACUAAUUAAUAAUUAGAUUGUGCCAAAAACAAACUUAUAAUUAGAUUAAACUAUAAUAUGUUACAUUUUUUUUAGCAAAAUUAUUAAUAAAAUUAUGCUAUUCUAAGAUCGGGAUCUAUGUACUAGAGUGGCAGUGCCUGGGAUCAUAUGAUUACGUAAGGAGGUGAGCAAUAGAAUUAAAAUUUCUCUCUCUUAAAAGUAUUCAAGUAGCCCUAGGCUCCCAAGCAAGGAUGACCAUCGUGUAACUAUUUAUUAGCACAAUGCCUUCCGGUAUCGUGUGUUACAGAAACCUCGUCUCUAAAAUUGUGUCUAUUUAAUUUUUUAUAAACGUUAAGAAACUUUGAUAAUACUUAAACUUUUUAAAGAUCUCCUUUGAAAAAUGAUAGAAACCUACAAAAGCUCAUCAAGCUCCCCUGCAAUUUCUUUUCAACUUGUACAUAUAAAUAUAAAUGAGGUUUAUGUUAUAAAAGAAAACUACAAAAAUGGUAAGAGUAAUUUCACCCCUUACAUUUUGCUCUAAUUAUACAAACCUUCCUUCUAGAUUAAGGAUGUUCUGCUAGGAUUUAGAUGUUGCCUUUGCAAAUUUGCUUUUGAAAAUUCUAUGAUUUUGAUAAUUUCUGACCUAAUAGUUUUUCUUUUUUUUAUUCAUAUUACUUUGAUUUUACCAUCAUUACAAAGUUUUGCGAAUUGAUGUUCAUGUGAAGAUGUAUAUGUUUCACUCUUGAAGAAAAACACUAAUAUGCACUAGUAAAUUAAUGUCUGAAUAUAGAAUACGUUGACUAAGAGUCUAUUUGCAUAUAUACAUUUGUUUAGCCACAAGUUGAAUUAAUAACAUGGCAUGGGGAAAUUUUUUUAAAAAGAAAGUUUAAUAUUACUAGCUAGCUGCAUUGUUAGUUGGUUUAAGUUCUUGCCUCUAUUUGAGAAAUACGGUAUUUAUUUUUGUUUUACAACAGUGACAUUAGCGGUUCAACCUUUCUAGGAUAUAUAGGAAAGAUCAAGGUCAACAUUGUGCUAAUAUAUAUUGUGGAGUUAUAUUUGCUGCCUUUGUUUAUAGAUUAACUGUUCUUAUUAGCUUCGUUGUGGAGCUUGGCUAAUGGCUAUUUUAGAGUCGUCUUUAUUGGAUACUGAUAGAGAUUGGCAUUCUUGGUUCAAUCGAUAUAACUUAAUAGUGAUUUUGAUAUAUAUAUAUAUAUAUAUAAAUUAUCUAACAGUACAAUGAUUCGUUGGGUCUACUAGCUUUCUUUAAUUACUAUCCAAGUUUGUUUAAUUUUUGUGAGAGCAAAUAAUUAAUUAUGUUGAUUUUGUAUAAUAUUUAAUUAUAUUCAAUUUACUACGUACACCUGUAAAAAAAAAAAUGAGAGAGGAACAAACACAUUAAUAUCUCAUAUGAUACAGGAAGACACUACAAAUAGGGAUGUUCGUCUUAAGCAGCUCAGAUUAACCAUAGAUGCUAUGCGACAAGAAGCGCAGAUUAAAGAUGGUAUGCAUGGUUUUAUAUUUGUUUAUGCCUAAAGUAGCAAACUUUGUGCUUUCCCUCGUAUCACAUUAAACUGCAUAAAUAAAAUUUUCUAUCUUUACACGUCUCGGUUGCAUGAACAAUAUCAUGAAUUAAUAUCUGCAUCUGUAUCAAUUAUGUCCUUUCCCUCGCAUCACAUUAAACUGAAUAAAUAAAAGGUUUUACAAUUACACUACUUGUUGCAUGAACAAUAUAUAUGCAUGUGUAACAAUUAUCACUUUCCCAGAAAAUCCCAACAAUCUAAGCAUGCAUGAAAUUAAAUAACCUUUUAAGUUCAUAGGAGAACUUGUUAAAUAACCUUUUUGGUAGUUACAUUAGCUUGUAAUUUUGCACCAGUUUGGACAUUUAUUUAGCCUUUGUUGCUAAUUUAUAAAUUUGGUACAUUCAUAUUAUCAUGAACACAAUCUUGUGCUUGCAGCUCUCUCUGCAUCGGUAAAGGAAGAACUUCGAAGCCUCCGUAGGAAUAAACAUGGUCAUGUUGGUGUUAUGUCAAGUUGUGGUUCUGUGGACGAGUUGACCUCUCAAUUUUCUUCACAGUUGGCUCUACAAAAGUUUCAUAAUCAUCCGUCGUCGUCUCAGAAACAUCUAGACCUUCCUCAGCAAACACAGCUCUCCAUGCCUAAUCCUCUUCCUUACUCUACUACUCAGAGUUUUAGUGGGCAAUAUGGCCCUAAUAACUACUUCUCCAACUUCAAUCAGCAAAACUAGUUCAUUAUAGCAGGCAGCAUGAAACGAUAUCACAAGUAUCAUCUUGUGUAUAUGUUUGUAAUGCAGGAGAGCUGUGAAGGAUAUCAUUGUGUUGUUCAGCGUCUUUGUUGGUACUUAUGUUUUACUGUUUCAGGCUAGAUAGCCUAAUUCUUGUGCUUUUCCUGCAUUAAUUUUAAGGUUAAAACCAGAACUCAUUUUUUAUUUUCAGUUAAUUAUGUGGUGAAAACAGUUGAACAUGAAGAUGUUGAAGUAUAAGUUGAUGAUGCAUGGGGGGUGAAUGCAAGCUGUAUUCAUUGAGUUAUCACUUUGUAGCUUCUGAAGUUACAUGAUAUCAAACUUUGGAUUUUGUGAAAGAAAUUUAAUGGAAGAAAAAUGCAUCUUUAGUGUAUGUCAUAUGUUUUGCAGAUGUGUGUCCCCUCGUAUGAGCGAAAUCGUGUUAUGGUUAUUAUCUUAAGUAUAACCUUUUACACCCGAUCUUUACUCCCUUUGAUCUUUCUCACUUCACCAACAACGGCUCACAGAACCAUUAACACACCACCAUCAACAUCAAACCUCCAUAAAACGAAAAGGCCAUUGAGUACUUUUCCUCACUCAUUUACCCUCGGACCUUUAAAUUUCUCUCUCUCUUUCUCACAUAUAAUGUUAACACACUCAUAUCUUAUCAGCACACAUGAUCUUCCGGUUCUUAAUUUGUCCUUAAGUUAUCUCCACAAUCCACUUAGGAUUCACUUAUCCUCUCAUUUGUCCUUCAGAGGAUUUAAGAAACAUUCAGGAGAUGAAUUUAAAACAUGUAGGUCAAUCGGGACGACAAUGAAAACCCAAAUCAUCAGCCACAGACGAAGAGUAGCUGGCGGGGCAUGAUGGAGGGCUCAGCUUGACAAAGGAGCUAGGGGGUAAUUCGGGAAAAGAUAGAAAAAUGAAAAAGAAGAAAAACUAAUUAAAAGAAAAAUUCUCAUCCAUUGACUUAAAAAUAAAAACAAACAACCGUUGGAGACCUAUAACACUUUUUCAUUGUAGUCUUCUUCAUCUUUCAUAGUAACACAUUAAAGGAGUGGAAGAUUAAUAUCUUAAAUAUUAUCAUAUACUAAAUAAGAAACACUUCUUAACGACAUUUCUUAUACACAAAUUAUAAAAUAAAAAUUCAGAUCACAUGCUUAAAAGACUAUAAUUAAGUCCCUUCAUUUAUACCAAGAUUACAUUUAUAAUUACUUAAUAGAUUCUCUAUCAUGAUAGUGAACGGUGCAUUGAACAGACACAAUUUCUAGAACCAAUGUCAUUUGCAAUGCACAGAGGUUGAAGUUGUCCAUCUUCAAACCAAAAGGAUCGCUUUUUACGAAACUCACCACCAAAGGAGUCCAACAUUUCAAUGGUAAUGUGUUGCAUCACCACUACAUGUGCAAUAUUCCCAUUGCAUGCCAAAUUCCACCUACGAAUAAAGUCAUCAUCUAGAGGCCUCUCAAAGAUGACAAUGUCGCUAAACUUGUUUAACAUUGUACUAAUUUGAGCAUCACGUAGUCGAUUUUGUAAAUACCGUGCUUUCAUUAUGCAUUUUUGCACUUCGUUUUGGAGUCCUAUAUAUCAAACCUCUUUUUUUCAAGGCAUACCAAAGAAAUAUUGGAGCAUGCCCACAACGGCUACCUGUGAUUGUGGCAUCCCUUGAAGCAAUAAUUUCAACAUUUUUAGACAAUGCAUUGAUGUAUUCUAAACGAGUUAUUGCAAUACCACAAGGAAUUGGGCAUCCCAAGAACUUAUGGCCAGAAACAGUCACACUUCCAAUAGGUUUCUUGAAGGUAAUCCUUGGUGCCUGUGAAAUCACCCACAAUAUUUUAGAUGAGAUCAUAAUUAAUUAGUGUCUUAGCUUGGAUGCUUUGGUCUCUACACAUCGGACCUUCAUAGCAUCUCCAUUAAUACCUAAGCACACAUCAAAGCAAUGUUAUAGAUAAACAAAUAAGUGACUUUAAACUCACUUGCUUGACAAAAGGCAACAUCAUUCCAAAUAGAGCUCCAUCACAAUGAAUGUAGAACCGAUCACGAGUGAAACCACAUUCCUCAAGCGUUUGUAUUACAAGAUCAAGGUCAUCAAUAGCUCCUUUCAUAGUCGUCCCUACAAUAACAUACUGGUUCUAAGUUUGGUAUAUAUGUCUACAUUUGUAAAAAAGUUUGUGCAUGAGAGCUCGUUUAAAUUAACAGUAACUAGUCAAAGACAAAAAGGGACCUAUGUUUAAAUUGAUAAUGGCUGGCUUGUCUUUGUGUGUAAGAACUAAAUCCUUCAGAUUAACACAAUCAAUCUCACCGGAGGUUAAUGUGCUAACCUUCAUGCACUUCAUUCGAUACAUUCUAGCUAUUUUGAAGAUUGAAUAAUGUGAAUCUUGUGAGGUAUAUAAUAUCCCAUCAGGAAGUUGUUCUCUCCUGUAUAUAAAGAAAAGGAUAUAAAUCAAAGUUUGUGUCUUGGAUAUAUUUUUGAAAUAUCAAAGAAAUGGAAUCAAAUUCAACAAAACUGACCCCACUAAAAUUCCGUGAAGAUUGCCUUCAGUUCCUCCAGUUGUGACGUAUCCCCAAUACUCAUUCUUCUUUAUCUCCCACAGAUUUGUAAACCAAUUAAGCACACAAACUUCAAAAGUUGUUGAAUUUAGGGAGAAGCUGCUCCCUAGCUAGAAAUGGAUCACCAGCAUUGUUUGGGUGAAAAUGAAAUAAUGGUUUUAUUGCAUCAGAGUUGAAGUCCUGAUUAGUAGGAUAGCCUGCAAUUGAAAUUCAUGAAUGUCAUUAGCAUUUAGCAGAGUCGAUCUGUCAUAGUAUUACAAGGAAAUAAGGAUCCCAUGCAGAGUUACCCCAUCUAUAAAUAGUUAUGGUUUUCCUAAUCAUUGUUUUAAUUGCUAAUAGUAGUUUAAAAUUUUAAUAAGUAAAAAGUUUUUUUUAAAAAAAAAAACUACAUGUGUCAUUCAUUGGAAGCACACAUAAUUAAAAGAAAAUUAAAAGCGCAAGCUGUAGUGAUUUAGAGUUUCCAGGUAUUGAGCAAUAACUGAAGCUAAAUUGGCUUGUGUCUCGCCACUACACUGUGUGAUAGCAAGGUUCGUAUGACUAUUGUCAUUCUCAUAUUUUUCACUUCUAGUAGUGAGCUUAGCACCCAUGAAAGCAAUUGCCAUGUUCUUCUCCAUUGCGUUUGUAAUAUGCGUGCAUGUCUGAGAUCUAGGGAAGGAGAAGUGUGAGCCACUUAAAGGUUUGAAUGUGUAUUUAUAGAAUAUUGCAUUCGUAAUUAAUUUGAAGAUAGGUCAUCACUGCAUGUACACACAGAAUACCACGGUACACGUACACAAAACCAAAACCAAAAGCGUCAACACGCACGUACAUAUAAAAAACGUGCUAAAACUAAAACCCAAACAUAAGACAACAGCCGACAAGAAAUUUUGACGUGAAAAAAGGUGUUAAAUUAUCAAGAAUUUUGCUAAAAUAGUACUGGCUAUUAUCUGUCAUUUUUUUUAUGCGAGUAUUUGUCAAACACUUUUUAAUAUAUUUAAAAAUUAUUUAUUUGUUAUGACUUUUAGUUAUAUAAAAAACAUUUAUUUAAUGCAAUGAACAAAGUAAAAUAUUAGUUUAAUGAAAAUAUUGAUACUCUUUCUCUUCUCUUUCAUUCCUAUAUUUCUCUCAUUAAAAAAUCCUUAAAAUCUACAUUUUUUCUAUUUUUGCUUCUAUUUAAAUUCUUUCUUUUUAUUUUUUUCUCUUAUGAUUUUCUUUUUGAAUCAAAUAAAGAAUAGUGCCCUACCUGUUUAAAGAUUGAUAUAGAGACUUCAUCAAUCUCGCUUCAUGUCGUACAUGCAAGUAUUGCAACUGAUGUGUCGUCAAAUACUAUGGAAUAGUCAGCAUAACUUCUAUAAUUUGUCACAACUUUCUUUUUAUUACAAAAGUCAAACAUUUAAUUUGUGCUUCAGUUCGUGAGUUGUUCUUGACUUGGCUACAGUAGAAGUAAUCAAUUAUGAAACCAAAACAUUAUUUCAAACAAAUUAAAUCUUUUCGAUGCAUAAUUUGAAUAUAUAUUCUUAAUUUGAUAACUUUAUCUUAUUUUUAUUUUGAAUAAAUUGCAAUAACUACUCAUUAAAUUUUGUGAAAUUACAUAAAUAUUUUUCUUUAUUUCUAGACUAACCCCUUUUAAUUUUUAAAAAAUAUAUACCGACACCCUUUUAAACACUACAUUAACUUUCCUUAAUUGUUUAACAAUAUUACACGUAAUUGAUUAUGCAAAUAAAAGUUUUUUGUCAAAUCUUCAUAAAACUAUAUUACAAACAAAAUAAUUAUUUACAUUUGGUGAUAUAGUCAUUUCAUGACAGUAUAUGAAACAAAACAUAACUAUCGCAUUAUCUAAUCAUAUAAAAGUUGUAGCAUUACAUGAAAUGAAAUAAGUUGUGAAUGUGUUUGGUUGUGAUGUGUCAUUUAAUAUGGGUAAGAAAUUGUGGUUUAUUUUCAAGGGAAAAAAAAACAUUAACAAUGAUACGUUUGUUAAGGAGUGAGUUGACCGAGGAAACCUAUAAACUUCUGGUCAUUGUCGGCAUGCAGGGAGACAUUUUGUGUUUAUCUUGGGGUGGGUUUUUUAAGCUGGUGCCAUUAUGAGGAAGACUUUGGUGUUAUUGUAUGUUUCUACCAAGCAUGGUUUUAAAUAGUAAGCUGUAUUUUUUCUUUAAGUGCCUACAAUGUAAAAGUUUAAUUUCUGGCUCAUCACACUGCAAUCGCGACAGCAAUCAGAAUUUAAAAUCAUGUAGCAAGGGUCAAGCAUUGAAUAUGAGGGACUGGUGCUGCUUUAUUCAAGUGGUGUGACAAGGCUACUAAGGGCAAUUCAUAAAUUAAAGCAAAAUCAUCUUGGAACGCUGGCGAUCCAGAACCCAAGGAAGCGGAGCCUGGAGACACAUCUGCAAGGCAUCCAAUGGGUCAUUGAACUUGGAUUAUAGAAUAAGUUGUGUUUGAGCUUGAUUGUAAAAGUGUCGUUGAUGGCAUUUUGGCAAACUCUACUGAUUUUUCUUAUUUUCAUGUUAUUCUAUCUAAAGUGCAGAGAGCUGAUCUCUUACCUUUUUCAAACUCAAUUGUGUAAACAGAAAAGUAAUGGCUGUAUUAUUUCUUUCAUUUUCAGUUGGGUGGGUGUGACGAGAUGUUAAUUGAAAAGAUGUCUGCAGUCUGUAUAAAAUAUUCAAAAAACUACUCAUACGUGGUAAAAGUGAUAAUGGCGAUCUGUACUGUAUUUUGUUUGUCACUCAAUAAACAUAUAUAAAAUUAGUGGCCGGGGUAUUUAUUGUUAAUCUCUAUUUCUUUUAAGUGACCUCAAGGUGAUGGUACACAAAACAGAACGAAACGAAGUAUAAUAAAAGAAAACAUGAUAUUAUUAUUUAACAUAUAUACUGUGUUUAGUUAAUUAUAAAAUGAUACAAAAUUUAAUGUUGUCCUAUAUAAUAAAUUUGUUCCACUAACGUUGUCCUAUAUAUGUAUUUAGUUUGGUACUUAUUAAAUGAAAUAUUAUGUUAUUUUUAAUUAUAUAAAACAAUUUUAAAUCUUCUUACAAUUUCUCUUUGCUAAAUUUCUUAAUUGUUAAAUAAAGUACUAUUUUUUUAUAUUUUAAUACAUUAAUUAUUAUUUUUUUCAUUGAGCGCUUUUUCUACAAAGUGAUAAAAUAAUAUAGAAGAGUCUAACAACAUUACUAAUAUGUCAUUUAAUAAAUAAUAAUCAUCAUUAUAAUAAUUUUUAAAAAUAUAAUUAUUAAAAUAUUUUCUUGUGAGGUCAGUUCUCCAAUUCCUUGGAUUUGUUGAACUACUUCACCGCACACCAUCAGAGAGGCUGCAUUCCCGCUCAUCAUGAGAACCAACUUCAAACCCUUAUGAUGUGAGUCACGUACGUAUCAAACCUCUAUCCACAACCCUACAUUGUCAAAUGCCCAUGCAAUGAGCAAACCCUAUUACCCUCACCCUCACCAGACACGUACAUCCUCUCUCCAUCAUACACGAACACAUUCAUUAAGUGUUAUUAAACUCGACCAAGGUACUGGAUCACUAGAUUAGGAAUCCAUCCAAUGAAUAAGUAAUUAAUCUACACUCCAAUUUAUUAAUUCAGUUAUAAGUAUGUAAUCAACAUUAAAAAAUUCAAAUAUUAUAUAGAUCAAAUAAAUAUAAUUAUAUUUUUUUUUAACCUCUAGUUGUAAGGAACAUAGAUAAAAUUAUUGAGAUUUUGAUGCUCCAACCUGUUUCUUUUUGUUGAAUGAAUAUAUUCAAAUACACUUUAAUUUCGCUCACAACCCAAAAAAACUUUAAGUUUGACUUAAGAUAUGGAUAACUACCUUUUACAAAUGUGGUGCACCAUAUCCAUAAUCCUCCCACCAUUGAUCUACAAUAUUGGAUUAAUAAAAUAAAUAAAGAUUAUGGAUCACAAAUAAUGAAAGUUAUAAAUAACUAAUGUUACCUAGUAUCAUUGUAUUUCUUUCACAUACACAGCAGAUUAUCUUUCAAAAUCUACCUCAACAUUUUUGUAUAAUGUCAUUUCACUUGUCAAAUGAGAAUUCGACUCAAAAUCUACAUGAGAAUACUUCUCAAGAACUUCAUAAAAUGCACUUGUUAUGUUGAUAUGAUUUUUAAGAUCAUUAAAGUGAUAAACAUGAUUUAACCAAUAACCAGCAACAUGAAUUUGCUACAUUAUUUGUGACUAUAUGGACAAUAUUUUUAGGGCCAACAUACAACACCAUAUCCCUCAAAAGUUUUACAUAAAUUUUCAGGAGUUUUAGAAGCAGUAGAAGCAUCCACGAACUUUAGAAAAACAAUACCUUUAGGACAAUAAACCAAAAAGUUGAUUAGAGUCCACCUGCAUCUGUCAGUCCACCCAUCAUCUAUCACAAGAAUACAACUAGUUCGCUUCCAAAUCUCACGGUACUUCUCAAUAACUUUCUUCACUUCAUCAACUCAUUUAUUUAACAAAAAACCACAAACACUAUAAAAAUUUGGACCUUAUAUCCUGGGCCCAUGCUGCAAAAUGCAUCAACCAUAGGCUGGUAAUAUGUUGUGUAAACUGCAUUGAAAGGCACAUAAGCAUCAAUCAUCCAUCUUCAAAGGCAAUGUCACACUUUUCUACCACCUUUUUGCUUUGCAAGACACUUUUUAAGGUUGGUUGAGCUCCAGCAGUGGUUAUUGGAACAAAAUAAUCACCAAUGCGGUUGGAAUUAUUCCCCCUUUGAGAUGUAAGAGGUGUUGCUCUUAAUGGAGGAUCAUCAGACACUCUCAAAGAAUCUUCAUCAAAUGCAACAUCAUUCUCGUCAUCAGCUUCUUGGGUUUUUAUUUUCUUGGUCUUAUUCUCAUCCAUGUUUUGUUUCAUUUGAAAAGAAAUAUGACAGCUUGUCCCUUUUCUCCAACCAAGUGAGCCUUCAAUCUAUUAAUUCCACCUCCUUUAAUAACAUUAUUACAAUAAAGACACAUUAGAAAUUUUUUGUUAUUUUCCCCAACAAUUCAGUUGUUUGCAAUUUGCCCAAGCCAAAUUAGUUUUCCCUCGAUGCUUUGAGCCUUGAGUUGAUGCUUCUUGUGAUGAUGGUUGUUCAGGUUCAGGAGUUGACAUCUCUACUGUAUAAAUGAACUUGCUAUGUUACUUAUAAUGUACAACCUUACUAAAAUAGUGAUGUUCUAUAUUCUGGAAAUAAAAAUAGUAAGUAGACAAUCUGAAUUCAAAACUUUCCAUUUUGUUUUCAAACAUCAAUAUUACUCAGAAGUUCAAAACCACUGCACAAUUUAAAACUAAACACAUAACAUAAAAAUACAAUACAUUAUACAUAUUUGGAUUUGAAAAGAGCAGUCACAUACAUAAGGAUUCAAAGUGCACCAAACAUGAAUGUUCAACAGAGGGAUUCAAAGUUUCAAACAGAACACAUAUGGGAGAAUAGAAGGGGGUUUGAACUUUGAACAAAGCAAAGCAUAGAAGUGCUAACAUGUUUUCUGGAAGUGUUUGAGGGUGUUGACGACGAUGGAGGCUCCUGCUGGUGCGAGGAGCGAUGACAUUGCAGGGUCGAGGUCGAGGGGCAGUGGUGAGCGAUGACUCUGUUGGGAGAAGGUGUCUUCGCCUCUUUGAGGUCGAGGGACUGAGCAAAGGUGAAGGGGGUUGUGCGACUCUUCGAGAGAGACAAAUUAGGGAAGUUCUAAUUUUUGUUUCUCCAAUUGGGUUACUGUGACCCACCGGUGUGGGUCACUGGUUGAGGCCGAGUCGCACCUUUUCAUGUGCAAAAAGGGUCUAAAUAGGUGGCUCAGACCGAUUUUAGGUGUUCAAUUCUCAGACCAGUGGAUCAAUCCAACCGAUUCGAACUGAGUUUAUACAUGCAAUAUUUCUUCUCUCAUGCAUGUACAUUACUCAACACGUACACGGUUUCAUUUAUCCUUUUCUUUUUCUUACACUAGUAAACCAUCUUCACUCUCUAUGAGAGCGAGCAUACACAUCUACACAAGCGAAACAUACACAUGCAAUACACACUUCUCUCUUCAUGAUCUCCUCAUAGUUAUAAUAAUUUAUUAUAUGGUUGCUUUUAAGAAUUGAGACAUGUUAAAAGCUGAGGACCUGAACCUUAAUUAACUAGUGUACGUACGUAGGCAUGUCUCCUUUUGAACUGCUUAAUAAAUUAAUCUAUACAUCACAUAUUCCCAUUAUAUAUGUUUAGAUUGAGCAUAAUGGAAUAUUCAAUACGCUAUGACCGGAGCAUUUUCCACUGGGAAGAAAGCGGGCUCUGAACAUUAAUCUAUAUGCAUAUACUUCAAUCUUGGAAACCAAUUUUAUAUUGAUUUUCCCUAAUCUUGAUGAUUCUUACAUUCUUGUUCUUUGUUCUUAAUGUUUGAUUUUAUUCUCAUUAUUCUUUCCCCAAUAUAAAAAUCUAUUUCUUCGAUCUUUUUUAACUUUUAUUAUUGAAUCACAAUAAAUUAAUUAUUAUAAAUCAUAAAUUUUACGAAAGAACGAUAUUUUUAUUAUUUAACAAUGUUGUACACUUACAUUAAUAUAUCAACCAGUUGAUGGGUUGAGUCACCAAAUUGACAUCAAUUUUUGCAAGUUAGGCAGGUUCCAACCCAGCCAUUUUGCAAAUCCUAAACAAUUAUAACAUCACAUAUGUAUUAUUUAGUUAACAGAUUCUCAAUCGUGACAUUGAAUUGUGUGCAUUGAACAACCACAAUUUCCCGAACCAAUGUCUUUUGCAAUGCAUACAUGUUGAAAUUGUUCGUCUUCGAACCAAAUGGAUCGUUUUUGAAGAAAUUCAGCAACAAAUGAGUCCAACAUUUCAAUGGUAACAUGUUGCAUCACUACCACAUGUGCAAUAUUUCCUUUGCAUGCCAAAUUCCACCUACGAGUAAACUCUUCAUCUAGAGGCCUCUUAAAGACAACAGUGCUACUAAACCUGUUUAACAUUGCACCAAUGCCUGCAUUACGUAGUCGACUUUGUAAAUAGUGUGCAUUCAUUAUGCAUUUACGCACUUCGUUUUGAAGUCCUAUAAGACCUUUUCUUUUGAUGGCGUACCAAAGGAAAAUUGGAGCAUGCCCGCAACGGCUACCUGUGAUUGUAACAUCUCUUGAACCAAUAUAUUCAACAUCUCUUGAUAAUGCAUUGAUGUAUCGUAAACGAGUUAUUACAAUACCACAAGGAAUUGGACAUCCUAAGAACUUAUGGCCAGAAAUAGCCACACUUCCAAUGGGUUUCUCGAAGGUAAUCCUAGGUGCCUGUACAAUAACAAGCAAUAUUUUAGAUAACAUCAUAAUUAAUAAUUUGUAAAUGUUUGUGUUUGUGUAUAAAUAGUGAAUAAUGAAUAAGAGGAAAAAAGAUUUAAAUAUGUUUGAGAUCUAUAAUAAAUGAUGAAUUUUUGUUUUGAAUUUUUGAUAAAAAAUUUCAUUAUAUUAAAUUUUUGAUAUAAUAUUAUAAUAUUUUUUAUUUUAAGUCUUUGUCUUCAGUUAUUGAUAAUGUAAUAUCUUACAAAUAAAUUUUUUCAAAAUAUAUUAAUUAUUGAGAUAAUGUCAUAUCAUCACUAAUCUGAUGACAUGAAUUCAAAAUAAAAGUUUUGAUAUAUUAAAAUAAAAGUUUUGAUAUAUUAAAGAUCAAAUUCAAUAAAAAAUUUAUUAAGGAUUUAAAAUAAAAAUUAUUUAUUUAUAAGGGACCUUGAAUAUAUUUAAGCCUAUAAAAAAGAAUAAUAUACAAAAGAUAAAUUUCUAAAUUAGUUGGAGAACAAAACAAAAUAUAAAAUAAGGGAAAGAUUUUAUUUCAAAAUCCAAGCCAUAUUUCAAAGUAAUCUGUCUCAACAUAGAUCUGUAUAUUCUCCACAUAUCCAAUUUACCUCCCCAACAACUCCCAUUUCCUAAUCAUACUAUAUAUCAAAGAGAAGCUUUUUAUGUAACAUAUAUGUUAAAAACUUACUUGUUCAACAAAAGGCAACAUCAUUCCAAAUAGAGCUCCAUCACAAUGAAUGUAGAAUCGAUCACGUGUGAAACCACACUCUUGAAGUGUUUGUAUUACAAGAUCAAGGUCAUCAACUCCUCCUUUCAUAGUUGUCCCUGAAACAAGAACCAUAUUUAUGUUUCUCCAAGUGUCUAUAAAUUUUAUGUAAAAAGUGUGUGCUAUUAUUAGUUAUUAUAUAUGUGGGUAGUUGUCGAAGGAUACCUAUGUUUAGAUUGAUUAUGGCUGGCUUGUCCUUGUGAGCAAGAAGUAAAGCCUUUAAAUCAACACAAUUAAUCUCGCCAGAGACCAAAGUGCUAACCUUCAUGCACUGCAUUCGAUACAUUCUUGCUAUUUUGAAGAUUGAAUAGUGUGAAUCUUGUGAGGUAUAUAAAAUCCCAUCCGGAAGUUGUUCUCUCCUAUAUAAAGAUAGAAAUCGAUGUUUGUGUUUAGUAUAUAUUUUGAAGCAUCAAAGGAGUCUAGAAAUUAUAUCAAAUACUAACCCUACUAAAAUUCCAUGAAGAUUUCCUUCGGUUCCACCGGUUGUGACGUAUCCCCAAUACUUAUUCUUCUCUAUCUCCCACAGAUUUGCAAACCAAUCAAGCACACACACUUCAAAUCUUGUUGAAUUUAGGGAGAAGCUGCUUCCUAGGAAUGGAUCACCGGCAUUGUUCAAAUGAAAAUGAAGCAACGAUGCUAAUGUGUCAUAGUUGAAGUUUUGAUUAGUGGGGUAGCCUAAAGUACAUGAAAGUCGAUCAUUAGUACAGUCUUGCAUGGUAAGAAGAAGAGAUUUCAUGGAAAUAGAUAAAAGAAAAAUAAUAUUGUUAUAAAAAGAGAGAGAGAGAAAAAAAAGUUUGAACUGAGUUUAAAAAUAAGUAUCAAAAUAUCAGAACUAUUAUAUAUUAUAAAUUAUUAAAUUUAGUAUUAAACUAACUUUGAUAUUUCCAUGCGUGUCAAUUAUUUUCACAUUGUAUAUCUUACCUUCUAUUAUAAAAUAUUUCUUUUACUUGCUGAGAUUGCAUUAUUAAGAAUGGAUAAGGAUGUGAAACAGAUUAUGACAAUGAAACAAUUUUCAAAGUAAAAACGCCAAAACCAAAAGCAUACCUAAGUUGCGCAAGCUGUACUGAUUUAGAGUCUCGACAUAGUGAGUAAUAACUGAAGCCAAAUUGGCUUGUGUCUCGCCACUGCACUUGGUGAUAGCAAGGUUCUCUUUAAUAUCUAUCGGCAGAUUCUCUUCUUUUCUAGAGAAAUUGGCAUUGCUGACAACUUUCGAUGACAACAGCUCCGUGGCAUGAGUUCUUGGAAUUAUGAAAUCCAUUGCCAUGUUCUUCCCCGCUGAAUUCUCCAUUUGUAUAUUGUAAUUUGUAAUAUGUGUAUCCGAGAGUGAUAUAUAUGCAGAAUGUGUAGUGAAAGACACAAAGGCUGUGAAUAUGUAUUUAUAGCCAGAAAAUCAAAGCUGUGAAUGUGCAUAACGCGUGUAUUUUCCACUUGGUGGAAUUGUAUUAUUAAUUUAUUUAUUUCAUUUUCAGUUGGGGUGGGGGGAAUUAAUGGUGAAUCAAAAGAUGUCUGCAUAAAAAAUUGAAAAAUAAAAUGUAUUAAAAGUAAAAUGAAAUACGACACUCAGGAAUAAAAUGUAUCUUUUUAUCAAUCUGCCUGCCGUUCUCAACAGCCUUAUACUCUCAUGCAGUAGCGGAAUUGGGAAAAAGUCUCUGAGAGGAUCAUUUUUGGGGGCGUUUGGAAACGCGUCUCGAUCCACAAGAUAAUUAAAAUCACGUUUGGUAAGGUGGAUAGCGGGCUUGGUAUUUGACACGUACGAUAGAGUGGUUAGAUUAUGUGUAUGGAGUUUUGUUAGAACAAUGACAAAGAGGUGGAACGUUCCUAUAUGCAUGCAUGGGGUGGAGGAAUUUUCAUCUUUAAUUUGGCUGGUAAAUAAGUACUAUAGUGUAGUUGAAUUGGUGGUACAGCUGGUUCAUUUAUAGUGGGCUAAUAAUUUAUUUGCUAGCUAUAGUAUCAGGUUAAGUUAUAUUUAUGUGCUAUAUAUCUCUGUGAAUUAAUAUUUGGUGACCCUCUUUGAUCGAGGCCGUUUUUGGCCUCUGGUUGUACCAGAAUUUGGUACCACUGCUACCUUUUCACAUUGUUAUAUAAUAUCAUUAUUUAUCUCGAUGAAAAAAAAGAGAUAAAAUCACGUCAAUUUCUACUUAGAUGUAUGUAUGUAUAAUGUAGCCCAUGUUUGAAACUGGGUCACCAACUUACAAAAACCACGUCAAUCUGCAUCCUUUUAUGAAGAAGCUUCAAGUUUGACGUGGAAAACCACGUUGGUAAAAGCUACUGUGUAGACUGCGCAGCUUUGGUUAAGAUGUGUGUGUAUUUCAGAUGUUUGACGCCAGGAACCGACCUAGGAUGAGUUAACUGGGGGGGGGGGGCGGAAUUUUUUCAAAAUACUUAAUAAAUAUAUAAAUCUUAAAUUUUAUAAAUUUAUUUUUAUAAACCCCUCCGUAACAAAAUUUAUAUAAACAUUUAUUUAUAAUUAAGUGCUUUUCAAAACAAAUCAAGAACAUUUGGGCCUCGCUACACCUGUUCAUAUUUUAGCUGGCAUAUAUGGAUGCCUCUUUAGCAUAAAGAAGUAAGAGGUUAAUGGGCUGCAGUUUGGGCCAUUUUGAGGAAUGCAUGACCUUUCCAGUACUAUUGCCACUGCCCAUGUGAGUAUAUGCACCCAAGUCUUCGAACCAUAUAGAUAACGGGUUUUUUUUAUAAAAAAAAAUUGCAAGUAUUAUUAAUUCUUUACGUUAAGAUUUUGAUUUUUAAUUUAAAUUGUUAUAACUAACUUUUUAUAUUUAAAAUAUUUAUAUAUUUUAGUGUAAUAGAUUUUAACUUAAAAAAUUAUGUUGAAUUUUUUUAAUUUAACUUUAUAUAUUUUUUAUUUUUUUAAAAAUCAUAUUAAUAUUUGGAUUCACAAACUGGUUUGUCUAUAUGUGAACUUUUGUGAACCCAAUAUGUAUUUUAAAAAAAUUAUUUAUUUUACGGAUCAAACUUAUUCAACCCGUAUAUAUACUCAUCCCUAAUUAUGUUACAAAAUAAAAAUGAAAAAAUAUAAUUUCACAAGGCUUAACAAUGAGAAUAAUAAUUCCCAUUUUCCAACUCAAAUUAUAAAAUAAAAAACAAACUGCAAUAUCGGAUUCACACUAACAACAAGAGAGAAAAAUUCAUUCUCAAUACAUUCAUAUAUAAAUGCCCAGUCCAAGUGAAACCAAGUUUAUAUAUUUUAAAUAAAAUUUCGAGUUUUAUUUUAAAAAAAAAUAGUUUUGAGUCUAAAUAUUAUAAAUAAAAAUAUAUAAUUAAAAUAAAUUUCACUAAAAACAAUUAGAUUAAUUUUUCAUCAAAACUUUUAAAUGCUUUGCACCUAUAUAUAACUGUAAAAAAAUAUCAAUACAUUAUUUUCACAUUAGUAUUUUUAUUAAAUAUUAAAUUAACAGGUAAACUAUAAUUACCUAAUUAAAUUUUUGUGGGAGUCAAAUUAACAGAAGAAAAAAAUAAAGAUGCUGAAUUUGUGAAAUUAAGAUAAUAAAGAGACCUGCAAUUUGGAAAGGAACUAAGUAAAAAAAAAAUCUUAAGUAAGGAAUUGAGUAACAUCAAACAUUCAAACGCACGUUCACAUAGUCACACGUCAAUUCAGCUGCAUGGCUCGAGCUACUCAUCAAACGCCACGUAUUGCGAAAAAAGUUGGCACGUGCUAAAAAUCAACCGGCCGGCCAGUUUCUUAUGCGUUUGCGUCUUUUCAGCGUGACCCAUCCUUUUCGUCAUCAUGUUAUAUGUUCAAGUAGUAAAUGUUAUUUAGACACUGUUUGUUUCAAGUUAAAUAAAUGAAAAGGAAAUAUUCAUAAUAAAAAAAAUACUAGUACUUAGAUUCCUAUGUUUAACUUGAGGAAAUAAUGAAAAAGGAUAAUUUAUUUUUGGAUUCAUAAGGGAAAAAAUCAUUCAAAUUGGCAUGCGAUAGAAAAUAAGUUUUUUUUUAUGGUAGAAAAGAAGAUUUCUAGACAAUCUAUAUCACUACUUUUUUAUAUAAGUAUUUUUUAAAAACAGGUAACUUUAAAUGUUUGAAAAAUUAUAGAAUUAUCGAACAUUAGAUAUAUGAAUAUCUCUUCAUAAAAAUUUAAAUAUCGGUUCAUUAUAUUAUAAGAGGUUGCUCCCUUAUUAUUAUAAUUAUAAUCCAUAAUAAAUAAUCAUUUUUUAAAUUAUAAAUUAUAUUAUAAUAAAAAAUUAUAAUACAAAUAUUUUUAAAUAUAUAAAUUAUAUUUUGAUUUUUUGAUAAAUAAUUUUAAUUUUUUAAUAAUGUUAUUUAAAAUUGAAACAGAUUGAUAAACAAUUAAGAAAAGUAAGUAUAAAAACAAAUAAAGAUAAAUAAAUGUUAUUUUGUGAUGAUUGGGAAUUUUUCUUUGUCUAGUUUUGUUUUUUAAAAAAAAGUAUGUGAUAUGCAUCUCCAAAAUACAGGAGAUAGAGCAACGAAAAAUUAUAAUUAAGAGAGUUAGGUGAAUAAGAACUUCACUCUCUAAAUCAACAAUUCUAUUUUUUUUCCUUUUUUGAAGAGGGAGGGGGGAUGAAUGAGAAAUAUAUUCAAAGUCUAGAAACACCUAAGAGGCAAGAAGGUUAUUUCUUAUAAGCAUAAUAUGGCCUUAAGGAGAUAAAUUCAAAACUACAUCAAAUAUAUGUUUAGAAAGAACCAUGGCUAAUUCAUACUUGAUAAAGACAUCAACAACUUAAUUAGUCACUUUUAACAUGUAUUGUCAAACUAUAUGACUCAUGUAUUGAUGAUUUCAAUGACUUACUUUAACCAAGUUAUAACAAGAAUGCAAAUGACAACAUUCAUUGACCAAUAAUCUAACCAUCAUCAAAGAAUUCGAAUAAAACAACAAUCAUACAAAAAAUCAUAGUUAAAUCUUCUGCCUUGAGUUAAAGGCCCUAGAUGAACAAAAAGCCUUGUCAAACACUACAUGAAUGAUUUGGAUUCUAAUUUCCAAUAUAAGAAUAUUUGUUUAUUUAAUUUUGUUUUUAUUUCAUUUCUUGUUGAAAACAAAAUAUUUAAAGCCUACACUUUAUCAUAAGUCUAUUACAUGAUGGUAUGUCAUAGUGAUUUGAAAUUCAUUUUGGGUGUGUUUAGUUUAAAGGAUGGAGAUAAAAAAAAGAUGAAAAUAGAAAAAAAUGAAUUAAAAUAGAAUAUAAAAAAUGUGAGUUUCACAAAAAAAAUACACAAUUUCUCUCCAAUAUUCUUUCUCUCUUUUCUAUUAAACUUACCAUUAACAUUGAUUUAUGAAUGCAACACAUUAAAAAAAUAAAAGAAAACUAGUAUUUAAGAGAAUUUUCAAUUACAUGUCUCGUUUUAAUUUAGAUAUAGAAAACAAGACAUGAGAGGUGAAAGUGAUUUCAAUUCAUUUGUAAAAGCAAUAUAUAAAAUUAACUUAGUGCACAAGAUUAUAAUUCUUUUUUAAAAAAUUGAACACUUUUCAACAUUGAAGCCUAGGUCAUUGCUCUUUCGGCCCAAGCAUAAGAGGCCAAUCUUGUUUUUGUUUGUUUAGAUAACUAGUUAAAUAUCUCAUGUCUUAUACGAGUAUUAAUUUUAUAAUUUAUAUUUUUUUAUAUUAUUAUAUAUUUUUUUAUGUAAUUAAUUAUUAUAUUUUGACUAACAAAAAUAUAUUAUUAUUAUGUUAGUAUUUAAAAAAUAUUUAAUUGGUUUUCAUUAUUUAUCAUUAUAAUAAAUAUUUGUAACUAUUUUAUAAAAUCAUGAUAGUAUUUUUUUUAUAAUAAUUAAAGGAAAAUGUAUUAGCGUUAAUUAAAUUUAAAUUUAAAUUUAAUUUAGAAUCCAUAUAUAUUUAUGGUAUUAAUUAAUUUGAAGUAGAAAAUAUAAUUAUUUAUUAGUUAGAAUAUUCUAAUAAGAAAAAUAUUAAGGAACAUUUUUCCUCUAAUAAUGAUUGGUUACUACAAUUAGAAUAAUUAUCAUAAUUAAACUAAAUAUAUAUAUAUAUAUAUAUAUAUAUAUAUUAGUGUUAUUGAUUAAGUUUAAUUAUAUUACUAGUUAGAAUCUUUUAAUAAUUAUAAUUUAAUGAGAAUGAAUAUGAAACAUUUAAUCAUGUGAAAGAAUCUUCUUUUAUACUAUCUCCUAUCAUUUUUAUAUAUAAGAAAUAAGAUAAAUCAUAAUUUAAAUAAAAAAUGCUAAUAUCCAUUCUAGUUAGAAUCUAUUAACAUUCAAUACAAAAAUAUUUGAAGUAUAAAAUUGUUGAUUGUUUUGUUUUUUAAAAUUUAAUUCAAUGAUACUAUCGUAUUUUAUGAUUUAAUUUUUUAAAAACUCUAUCUCACAUUUUUUUUUCAUGUUUCUCUCAUAUAUAUAGAGAGAUAUUUGUUAUUUUAUUUUAUAAGUUAAAUAAUAAAGCAUAAUAAUGUUAUUAAAUUAAAAUUUAAAAAUAAAAGAUUCAAUAAUUUUUUUAGUCUAGAUAUUUUUGGACUGAAUGCUAAUGUAUAUGAAUAUUAAUAUUUUUUAAAUAAUGAUUAAAAUAUAUUUUCAUCCUUAUAAAUACUAAAAUAUUUAUGACUUGUAAUCAGAUUUAUAAGAUUCGAUUCUACAUGUUAAUAAUUUAGUAUAUCACAGGUGAAGAAUGUAACAUUAACCCGUAAGAUUGAAUAUUUCGAAUUCAAUUUUCUAAGAUAUCACACAUCUAUAUUUUUUACCAGGACAAAAGAAACAUACUUAAAAUUUGACAAUAUUUUGAUAUUUAUAACUUUAAAUAAUGUAAUAUUGUUUACUUGAUUUUAUUAUCCAAUAUAAAUAUAAAUUGUUUCUCCGUUGUUUGGUUUUGUUUUGGUCGGAAACAAUGAAUGAGAGGAUUAGCGAAACGCAGCGUGAGAGGAACGACAUCCCCAAUCCAAUUCAAUUACUAGCUGCCUUUUUCUUUUCCUAAAAUCUCGCCUUUUUCGCUUCCGUGUCCCUGCUCAGCGGCAAGGCAACUUCACUUUGGACCAAAUUACCCUCCAUCUCCCUUCAAAUCACACCGAACCCUUCCCUUCCCUUUUUCCACUCAGAUUCUCUCCCCCCACUCCACAGUCAACUCCAUGUGCGCUUGAAUGGAUUUGGUGGAAGGCGUCGGAGAGAGUUCCUCGCCGCCGCGCGCCUUCAGCGGCUACAGCAACUACGACGUCCGCAACGAUGUCUACAACCGCCUUCUUCAAACCGGCCACGACCAAGCCGUUUCCAACCCCGACUUCCGCGAACACUUGGAGGCUCACUUCAAUCGCUUGCCACCGAGGUACUACUUUCUUUCACUCUCUUCUUCUUCUUCCUUUCUAUUUUUUGGAUUAGGCCUCACUUUCAAUUAUUUCUAGGAAUGAAGUGUGUAAUAAUCUGUUGCUGCUUUUUGUUUGUUUGUUCCAGUUAUGGACUCGAUGUGAAUAUCGAUAGAGCUGAAGAUGUUCUGUUGCAUCAAUCCCUUCUUGCUUUGGCAAAGGACCCUCACAAGCGCCCUGUAUACCAUAUACGCUUCCUUGAGGUACUAUUCUUCCUUACUUUGCUGUUGCUAACUCCAUUUCAACUAGCUUAGGAUCAUUCCGGAUUCAUUUUAAUUAGAUUCAAUUCCCAUCAUUUCUGUUUAUGUAUUUCGAUUUCGAAUAGGAUUUUUAUGAUUGGUCAUGUUUGGAUAAGCUUCUCGGUAAACACGUUAUAGGAAAAGUGUUGGAGUGUAGGUGAAAGGUGAAGUCUCACGUUGAGUAGAAAUGAGAAAUUUGAACACCAUAUAAGUGAUAUAAGUGAGGAGAAGACCCAUAAACCUGAGUCUUCUUAAGGUUUUGAGUUAAAGUGUGGUAUCAGUUCGCUUGUAUGGUGUGCUCGAGGUCUAUGGGUGUAAAUCUCCCCGGUGUUUAUCCCGAUGCACAACAAAAAGAAUUCUAUCAUAUUUCUUUCAGUUUUUCAUGUCUAUCAAAUUUACUUCUUCUCUCGAUUUGCUGGGCAGAAUAUUUCAACUAGAACAGAUAGUGAAGAUCAACAAAUUUUAAGUACUCAUUAUAGCCCAGGAUCAUCUUCCCAUGCAACAAAUGGGGGAGCUGUAUCACCUGGUAAAAGGUAUGCUAUCCAGCGAACAGUGAAAUAUACUAUAUAUGUAUGCACAAGCAUUUUACAGGAAGGUUUCUGGUAACUGUUACUUAAAAUAUCAAUUCUGUAUCUUUGUAAUUUAUUAUUUAUUUAUGCAAUGUAAUAUAAUUAUAUAAUUUCCAUCAGUAAGAUGAGGGAUAUUGCAAAUGAGUUUGAGCCUUGCUCGAAGCUUGAGGACCUAAAUUUGGAUGUUAGAAAGAACUCAAAGGAGACAGAGGAAAAAUUUCUCUCUGACAAUUUUUUCCAGAGGUACCACCUGAAUAAAGUUACAAUGCUGUUUCUUACUUUUCUUUUAGUUUUUGAAAUAGCAGUGUGACAACUUUUGUUAAAACCGGUAGCCAUGGCUGCAAAUUUUUUCUCUUUGGAGAGCAGGAAAGUAGACUUCUAUCUGUUGCCAAAAUUUAUGUUCCAAACAUUUAUUUUUAUGAAUGCGUGUAUCUUUCCACAUUUGAAAUUGAAGUAGUACACUGUACACCACUUGCACGCCAAAUGUUACCUGAAUAUCUUUUCUUGUGGUAAGUAAGUUAAACAUUGCAAUUUAAAAUGCAGGCUUGAACAUUCAAGUGUCCCCGUUCAUGAAAUAAUAUUUUCCACUGUUGACAAGCCAAAGCUGUUAAGCCAGGUAUGUUUGAAGAGUUUAUCUUAUCUGUUGUUUUUUGUUAAAACUUAUAUCUGUUGUUCUUAAAAUAAUAUAUGUUGGAGGAAGUUGUCAAGAGAGGUUUCAGGCUAAGCAAUUUGAUUUUUAACUGUGCCAAAUGGCAUAAUGUGAUCCAUGCAACUGACCUCACUUAGUAGGAUAAGGCUUUGUUGUAAAUUAAUUGAAAGUUUGAAACUCCCAGAGAUAAUGAGCUAAAAUUUUUCAAUCUACUUAGGUCAUGAUAUAUAGGUUUAUUUUCCUCAGUAUCAACUUAAUGAAACAAAAACUUUCCUCAAAAUUAGAAGGUAUUUAAUAACUAGAGAUUUAUUAAGCAGUUUUGGAGUGUGUUGUCAACUUUUCAUAUGAAGCAUAGAUAAAGUGAAGCCAAUAGAAGCUAUAUGAAAGACUAUAUGGAAUAUUGGAUACCAAUGUUAUAAUGCAUAGUUUUGUUGUAUCAUUGUUUUCUGGAUACUGACUAGUGAUUUGUAUUAUUGUAUAUGUUAUUCCUGUAUUCAUACAUAAUCCAAAAACAUUAUGUAAAAAAUAGUUUGAGGGUGUAAACUGAAUAACUGGAGUGGAUUUUACGUAAGAUCUUGAGAGUGGAAAUCAGGGCAUUCUCUUGUAUGAAGUGUAUAUGUAGCUUCAUUCUGUUGAUAUAAUCAAGUGCGAGGUUCUAGUUUGUUAAUGCCUGACAAUAUAAUUGAUGGAUAGUGGAUUGCUUUUUGACGGAUAUUAUUUUCUUUUAGCUGUCCGCUUUGCUGUCUGAUAUUGGACUUAACAUCCGUGAAGCUCAUGUUUUCUCCACAACUGAUGGCUAUUCCCUUGACGUGUUUGUGGUGGAUGGAUGGCCAGUAGAGGUACACUGCUGCUUAUUGUGAUGCUAUUUGCUUUCCCCCAAAGACCUCUGCAAAGUUGUAUCUUUGAAAGCUGUCAUUUCAUUAAUGUUAAUUUUACAAUGGCAUUUGUGUUAUUGGCAUGUUGCAAACACUUCAUAACUGUUAAUUGAUUAUAAUUUUGUACUUGGUGGUUGAACUCUACUACAAUUAUCUGAGCUUUGAUUUGAUGGCAGAUUAGGUAAGAUGACAAUUAUUGAUACCCACAAAGGUUGUUGCAGCUGCAUUUUUUUUAUAAAGAAAAUAUUUUCUUAUCACAGUUUUUAAUUCAGACAAAAAAUGGUCUAUAUCGGGAGUCAAGCUUGUAGGUUAUUAAGAUUAAGAUUUAAGGGGCACUGUUAUUAUAUUUCUCUUAUGACAGGGAUGUGUGCUGAGUCCAAAUGUUGCUGACUUUGCAAUCUUGUGCUCAGGAAACAGAUGAUUUGUAUGAUGCUAUGGAAAAAGCUGUAUCAAGAAGCGAGGUGCAUUGUGUCCUUGACUUUGUAUCUACACAUUCAUAUGUUGGUUUUGUGUGAGAUGGAAUUAUAUCUCUGAAGAAUGAAUGAAUAAUUCUUGUAUUUCCUGGAAUGUAGUUUAGUAACGCGUACUUAUAAGAUUGUAAUCAAUAUUCUUCCUUUCUCUAGGGAUCAUGGUCUCGUUCUUUAAAAUCUCAUUCAGCUGUGGAGAAAGCCUUAGCAACAGAAGGAAAAUCAGGAGAUUGGGAAAUAGAUAGGAAGUUGCUAAAGUUAGGAGAAAAAAUAGCAUCUGGAUCCUCUGGAGAUUUGUGAGUUGUGUUGUUUUACCAUUAAUUGUUUGUGUAUUUCUUUUAACUUGAUUUUCUUUCUCUUCCCUAUCGUAAUAUAUAUCUUGUUUUUAAUUUGCUUUAUGAUUCAUACUCAGGUAUCGUGGAGUUUAUCUCGGUGAAGAUGUUGCUGUUAAGGUUCUGAGAUCGGAGCAAUUGAAUGAUGCCUUAGAGGAUGAGUUUGCUCAAGAAGUGGCAAUUCUGAGGUCAGUACUUGGCUGUUUGGAGGUUAAGACCAUACUGCAUAUCAUAAUAUGUUUUUGCAAUUAAUCUUUCUUAUGAAUUCACUUUCUAAAUGAUUAUCAAACAUUUUUUCUUGUGUUGUACAGUUGAAUUUGUUGAGCAAUUAUUAUGUUCUCUUUUUCUUGAGGAAUAUAUAUUUAAAUUGAAAUAUCAACUCUAGUACCAACUACCAAGUUUUAAGAAGUGGUUAAGCAUGACAAAAUUAUCAGUCUCAGUAAAUUGCUUAGUUGGCUUCAUCCUUGCAUCUGUUUACUUGGUUCUUGAGGGAUUGGAUGUCUGUAUGCUAGAAACUUUUGACAAAUGAUGUCAGUUGUAGCAUCCUUACAACUGCUUAUUUCUCAAUUGAUGUUUUCUAAGCUGGGAUUUCUCAUCUACUAAGUUUUAUCCUGCCAUUGCUUUUGUUUAUAUUAAUUACAGUCUUGCAAGGAUUUGCUUAUACAUCUUUAGGACAUAAAUUUAAAGAUAAAAUGUAUCACUCACUUUCUCAUUUAGGUUCUGUCAAUAUGCUUUUUUCUUUCCUGAAAAUCUUUUGACAAUUUGACUUCUGCAUUUCUGAAUGCAGGCAGGUGCAUCAUAAAAAUGUUGUUCGUUUCAUUGGUGCAUGUACAAAGUGUCCACAUUUGUGCAUAAUAACAGGUAUAAAUCAAUCCAUUUGGUUCUGCAGAUAUAUUGUCAUAUAUUAUCCUAUUUAAUGUGGAAACAAUAAGCUAUCCUUAUUAAACGAUGUUUUAUGUUUCUAAAGAUUAUUACAAUCUCAUCCCUUAAGUUUGAGGUUCAAAACAAGAAAAAUAGAUACCAUGUCCGCCUGGCCCUUUCUAAUAGAACAAUGAUUGCUGAGGAAGAACUAUUGGUAGGACUUUUUAUUUAUGAGUUAGUUUCACAAUAAUGUUUAUCAGAAUAUUUUAGUCAAUUAUCAGAAAAAAUGGUAUGUGAUGACAGUUAAUUGACACAAGUAAAAAAAUUAUAAAUAAAAAAAGAAAUUCUAGAGAGCACCAUGUGUGAAGUUCUAUGAAACAUUUGAACGCCAUAUAUAAGGGGAAUUGCUAAGUGCUAACCUCCACACAUUCAUGGGUAGAUUAGCAUUCUCCACAUUUUUAGACUAAAAACUUUGCCAACCAAAUUUUAAAAAGUGAAUAAUGAUACCAUUUUAUUUGUUUUGAAAUUCAAUUAAUAUUUUAGCUUCUUUGUUACUACAAAUUUCUUUCACCUAUUUUCUCUCAAUAGUUAUUAUUUGUUUGUAUCAUCUCUCCUUUGUCAGUAUUACUAUCUCAUUUGUACCAGAAAGAAAAGGCUGAGGUUUAGUAAAAUGGGAAAGAUGUUAAUUUGUGUGUGUAUAUAUAAAUGUAUGUAUGUAUUGUGUACAUACAUAAAUACAUAAUAUGAUUGAAUAUUAUAAAAAUUUAAAAAUUAAUUUAUUUUGAUUAUUACUAUCUCAUUUUGAAUAUUAAGUUUGUAUUGAUAUAAAGUUAAAACGUUGAUAAUUAUAAAUGCUUAUUUUUACAGAUUACUUUUCUAUUAUAAUUCUGAAUUAAUUACAAAUCAUUUCUAUACUUGUUCCGUUUUUAAUAUUGGGCAGUAUGCAUUUUAGUCAAAACUAUUCUUUAGUUGUAAACAAUAUUUUCUCUUAUUAAAUAAAUAAAUUGUGCUUUGUUUAAUGUAGUCAUUAUCAAUUGUCAAUUCAUUAUUUAUUAAAUACAUGGAGUUUUUUGCAAUUUUAAAUAUUUAUAUUUCUUGUACUAUAUACUUGCUUAUGCAUCCAAAGCUUGUGGUCUGGACUUAUUUAGCUUAAAGUGCAGUAGUUGUUUUUGCAAGACCGUCAAUGUUAGACUUGUUUUCUUAAACACAAAAAUGGUUUGAUCAGAUAUACAAUUAGUCCUAUACUGGUGUGUGUAACUAUCUUGUAGGAGUUACGAAUUGGAUCUUUACAAGUUUAAGUGUUUUCUGUCUUAAAUGUCUAGUGCCUUUUGGUUCUAAGUAGUAUGGUUUUUCUUCUGAUCACUUGACCUUGUGCUAAUAUGUUCAUCAUUUAGUACUUUUCAGGGGAUUUAUUAGCUCAAAACAAUGGUCAUCGCAACAUUUUCAAUGUGACUAUGCAAAUCAAUGUUACGGGACUUAGAAGGUUUCUAAAUGUCAUGCAAAUUGUUCCUCCAUUGUUGUAAUUAUGGGAUUGUGGAUCCCAUGUCUAAGGCAAUCUUCCUCUAUAGCUGUUUUAUGAUAUCAAGAAAAGUUGUUUGAAAAUCAAGUUAAAAAACAUCCAUUUCACCAAUUCAUGUCAUUAGAUAUUAAUAUCUUGUGGAUAAAAUGUUCCUUAAUGUUUGGGUGUCAAGCUUAGGAUUAUUUUCCUAUGUGCCUGUGUCACUGCAAAUGUAUUAUCCAUUGUUUGUUGAUUCUGGACUAGUUCACUUCAUUGCUAUUGUUCAUCUACUCUAGUGAACUCAACCUACUAAAUGAUUUGGGAUUUAAAUUCCUCCUAAUGAUGUUGGAUGCAAAACUAAAUUAGUUAAAUAAACUUGCUACAUCAAUCUCUAUUUCCCUCCUUUUGAAAGAUUGCCUAACUGAAUCUACUCAGUCUCAUGAUGCACCAUUAUGCUGAUGGUGUUAUAUGUCAUCAUUCAUUUUUCCAACUUGUGAUGCUUCUUCUAGACCUUGUGUCUUCAAGUAUUUGGAAGAAUGCUUUAGUUCAAAUAAUUAAAUUCAUAUAAUCUUGGGAACACGUAAAUUGAUUACUUAAAAGCUGGUCUCCUCUCCUGUUUAUUGUUCAACUUGUCUUUUCUUUUGAAUUUAUUCUAUCAAAAUAUUUUUUAAAGUUUGUGCUCUUCUUUGCAGAGUAUAUGCCCGGAGGAAGUCUGUACGAUUACGUGCACAAAAAUCAUAAUGUCUUGGAGCUGUCUCAAUUACUAAAAUUUGCAAUUGAUGUCUGCAAGGGUAUGGAGUAUUUGCAUCAAAGCAAUAUAAUUCACAGAGAUCUGAAGACGGCUAAUUUGCUGAUGGAUACACACAAUGUAAGAAUUUAUUGAAAGUUUGAAACUACUAAUUUUCUACUCUACAACAUCACCCAUACUAAAAUGGGUGUUACCUUGUAUGGAAGCAUCAUUAAUGAACCAGAUAUUUGCUAUUAUCUUUGUUUGUGUGUAUUUUUAACCAAUAAAUUCAUUUCAGUUGUAAUUGUGUGACAAAUUAUCCACAGGUUUUCUGAAUAAUUCACUGAAGUAUGAAUGUAUGAUAAAUAAUAAAACUUUUAUAAUAAACUGUAAUACAAAGGUUUAAUUGACAUUAUGAUUCACCCAAUGCUCAUGACAAAUAGCAUACGUUGAAAAUGUGAUAUGAAAGUAGCAAAUGCUAAAACUUUCAGAAACAAUGGAUAAUGGUUUAUUUUUUUUCAAUGAACUGUUGUUGCCACUGCUGGAUCUUUUAAAUUUUCUUGAUGUGACUGACAAUAACAUUUAUUUUGUUUUGGAGUUGCAUUUUAAAAUUUUUUUAUCAUUAAGUUUUUAAUAUUUUUUCCUUUUCCAAUUAUUGUUAUCCAAUUAGGUUGUUAAAGUCGCAGAUUUUGGAGUUGCUCGGUUCCUAAAUCAAGGGGGAGUGAUGACAGCAGAAACUGGGACAUAUAGAUGGAUGGCACCAGAGGUUCGUUACUUGAAAAGAAAAAGACAAAAUAUACUGUUGUGCUUUUUUAUAUUUUCAUAUCAAUGUUAAUGUCUAAGUAAUAGAUUUUGUAAAGCUAAGGGUGCUGGGCUAUUAAUAAUUAAUAUUGGUAUGUUUACCUAUCUGUUACCUUUUUUAUUAAGCUUUUGUUGUUUAUUAUAAGAAGAGAUUUUAUUAGGGGGAAGAGGAGGUCCCAAAGAAUGAAAAAAAUAAACAUUUAAGAAAAUUCAUUUAUUAAUAUAAAAGAGCUCUCUAAUUUCUCUGAAAAUAUGUUAAUGAGAUUCCCUGGAUCAAAGAAACCUUGCCAUGUGGUCAGCACUCAGCACCAAAGUGAGAACAUAAACACAAUCCUAUCUAAUAAUAAUAAAUAAUAAAUAUAUACACGUAUAUCUCCUUGGUGUCCAGAAUACACGUAUAUCUCCUUGGUGUCCAGAAUACACGUAUAUCUCCUUGGUGUCCAGAAUACACGUAUAUCUCCUUGCUCAAAACUCUCCCACCCUGGGUUCAGCAACAGGCCAAAAUCCUUAUUCCUAACAAAGUGUCAUCUGGGUUCAGCAAUUUCUGAAUUAGCCAAGUAGGAGAAAAUAUGAUGCUGUUUUACUAGCCAUCUUUAACAAUUUCAGCUUUAAUCAUAAUGCCCAUGAUAGUCAUUUUACUUUCUCUUCGUUUUUGUUAAAUUGAGUAUAUUAUUCUUUUUUUUUUUUAAAGUUCGAAGAAGUCCAUUAUGAAAAGAGAAAGAGGUUUAAAAUCGACACAUUGAUUCCUUUUUUGCUUAUAUGAUUUUUGGUGAACUGUAUGCAUCAAAAAGUGCAUGUACGGCUCUAAAGGAAAAAAAUCAAAUCCUAAUCAAUCGACUUUAUCGAGAAAGAUUACUUUUUUUAGGUCAAGAGGUUGAUAGUGAAAUAUUGAAUCAACUAAUUAGUCUUAUGGUAUAUCUUAGUAUAGAAGAAGAGAAUAAAGAUUUGUAUCUGUUUAUAAAUUCUCCAGGGGGUGGGUAAUACCUCAUUUUACUUUCUCUCCGUUUUUGUUCUGCCUAAACCUAAGAUAGAACGAAAAGAAACAGGCAGAAGAAAUGAACAUUCGAAAUCUCUUUUGUAUGGAUUUCUCACCAGCACUAGGCGUAAUUGCCAUGUGUUAUUUUUAUUUUGUUCAGGUUUUACUUUAAGUAUCUUACUGUUAAUGGAUUUUUUCACAAGGUUAUAAAUCAUCAGCCCUAUGAUCAGAAAGCAGACGUAUUCAGUUUUUCCAUCGUACUGUGGGAAUUAGUGACGGCAAAGGUAAAUAGCUCGAAAUGGAUUAUAAUAUUGUAUUCUCUUAUCAUAUUCCUUUACCGUUCCUUGAACUGUAUGAUUUUUUAUAUAUCAAGGGAAUUGUUGUAAAAAUAUUUAUAUUUUUUCAUCUUGUAUUUCAGGUACCAUAUGACACCAUGACUCCACUACAAGCUGCCUUGGGUGUGAGACAGGUUUGCUAUUUAUUUAUCAUUAUGAUUUAAAUGUUAAGGCAUACAUAAAUUAUUGCUCUAUUUGACAAUUGACAGUUAACUUUUGUUUGUAGCUUCAAUAUGUCUGACAAAUAAAACUUGGGUAUAGGAUUUUUUUUUCAACAGAAAUAAUCAUGCUACCUCAGUGAAUGAAUGCAUGCUUAUGAGAGCAUAUUUGCAGUAAAGGUUUAGUUUGAAGUGUUGGACCUAUAUUCAUGUUAUGGGAGUGUGUAAGUUGAAGUUCAUAACUAGGAUCGAUCACUUUGUAUCUGACUCAGCUGUAAUGCUGUACAUCCUUCAGGGUCUGCGGCCAGAACUUCCGAAGAAUGGGCACCCUAAAUUAUUAGAGUUGAUGCAAAGAUGUUGGGAAGCAAUUCCAAGCCACCGUCCAUCCUUUAAUGAGAUAACUGCUGAACUUGAAAAUCUUUUGCAAGAAAUGGAGGUAAAUUAUAUUAUUAUUUAUUAAAAAUUAGGACAAAUUGCAUUCAUACUCCCUAAACAUAAGUGACAUUGCACCCAAUAUCCUUCCCUUUUCCAUACAGGGACUUUAAUUAACAAAUUAGGAUAGGCUUAUGUUAAUAGAAAGAGACAUUGUUAUAUCAAGUAAUUGUGGAAAGUUUGCGUUGGGUCAAAAGAGGGAGAGACAUCUGGUGCAAUUUCACUUUAGUUUAAAUAAUUUUCCCUAAUAAUUAUUUUAUCCUUUUUGUUUUUUUGGUAAACAUUUAAUUUAGAUGGCCUGAUUAUAGUUUAUUAUGUGCAAAUUGCAGAAAGAUUCAGAAGCGAAUGGUGCUUGACAUUUUCAGCACAAACUAAUAUAUUCCAGUUAUUUUACACGGUGGGAUGGAUCUGACUUUUUUUUCCCUUCCUCUGGCAGCUGUAGAGUUUUUUUCACGUUCCCUUGUGGCACCGAGGGAGAAAGGAGUUCACAGAAAUCGUGACCAAUACAAAGUGAGAAAAUGUAAAGAGGCAUACUAAUGUUAUAGCUGACUAUACUUAAAAUAUAUAUCCCAGGAUCACGUCAAACUUCUCCGAAAUUAUUUUGAUUCGAGGAAUGCGUUCCACGUGGCUAUUGAUGUGUUCUGGUAGCCAAAAAGAAACAUAGUUGACGUAAAAUCAAUGAAGUGUAUAGUGAGGGUAAUGCUGUUGAGCUUUAAUGUUUCAUUUUUUUUCUUGGGGUCAAGUAUUGAGAAUUUUAUGUUUUGCACUGUAAAUUAAUGACAGGCAUGGACCGAUGAGACCAGGUAUCUAAACUAUUUUAAUGCAAAGUGUUACCUUUGCCUUAUUAUUCAUAUACAUGUUCUCAUAAUUAGGUGAAUUUUAUGUGAGAUUCAUCAAAAAGUCUUGUUAAUAAUUGUUUUAUUGGAAAUUUAAUUUAGAAAUCAUGCAAGAGGUAUGUUUUUUUUACAUAUUUUUUCCUUUAGAUUUCAAACAACCUUCACUACAAAAGGACUGAGAUUUACAUCUUACAUAGAUUUCACCCAAUAAAAAUAGUUAUGCUGAUAGUUGAUGCCAAUUGUUUAACUUAUGUUGGAGUUAAAUUUUUCUGUUUAUUGAAAAGAUGACCAGUAAAAAGAUCAUCGAUGGCUUGAGGCGCAUAACCCCACACGUAGGUAUGAUUGUUAGUUGUUACAACCAGACGAACUUUGCAAGUGAAAGUGAGAAUGAAGUACGGUCUUCGUCGAUAGCAUUAAUGGCGCGGUUAAGUUUUNNNNNNNNNNNNNNNNNNNNNNNNNNNNNNNNNNNNNNNNNNNNNNNNNNNNNNNNNNNNNNNNNNNNNNNNNNNNNNNNNNNNNNNNNNNNNNNNNNNNUGUAUGUUUAUUAGCAUUUUUUAUUUAUGUAUCUAUUUUCAUAAAUGAUAUUAUUAAUUUUUAUUUUUUAAAAUAGAUUGUUUCAACCGACUUUGGUCUUUGAUUCGCCACUAAGUGUAUGUACGAUUGUGAUAGAAGACAUAAUUAUGAAACACCUAGAAGGCUAGAAGAUUUAGUGUUAGAUGUUUGCAAUCUGGUGGCUAGUCCUUGAGUGGAUGUGCAAUGCUCAUUGUCUUAUCCUUUUUCUGUCAAAGGCAAUCUAGCAAUGUUAAUGUCCAUUUAUAAAUUAUAUAUUACUUAUCCAUCAAAUUAACAAAAUAUGUUUUUAAAAUGUGAAAAAAUAAGGAUCAUUUGACUGUAUUAUCAUUGUUGUUUAUUUUUUACAAGUCACCAAAUGAUAUAGACUGAUAAAAAAAAAGAGAAUGUGGAAACUGGAAAACUUUCUAUGUAAACUAACCGAAUGAUAUAAAGUUCAUGAUUUGUUAUAACAUUCAUAUUGUACUUUUGAAUUUGUUACAACACUUGAUAAAAUAUCUUACUCGUAAUUUUUUAUGCAUGAUAUAAAACAACUGAAAAUAUCUUUAAAGUGUUUUUUCUUUUUCUUUUUUACAAAUUAAAGUGUUCUUUUCUUAAAAGAGUAAUAUUGUCACGAAAUAAUCUUAAAGCAUCGACGUUUUGAUACUUUUUGAUUAGUUCUCUUAUGCUAUGACCCUAAAAAUUUAUGCCAAAACUAAAAUUUUAAAUUUAAUAAUUUAUGAAUAGGAAUUUUAAUAAAUUUGUACAACGUGAAAACUGGGAAGUUAUCGGUACGUGUGAUGUGGACAAAGCUUUAUACAGAGACUGCUAACCAAUAUGGGAUUUUUGGACAAAAACUCUUUGCAACAUCUGAAUAGAGUAAUAAAAAAGGAAAAAGAAACAGAAAUUGAAUUUUGUGAAAUCUAAGUAUCUAACAAGUAAAAACUAUAUAAACUUUUACUGUCCUCUGCCCCAGGAAGAUAUAGGAUAAAAUUCAAAUCCUGUGGGCUGGAUACCAGAUCACGUCCAAAUUCAUUUAUUUGCUGGGCCCAAUUACAAUGAUCAAAAUUCAAUAGAAAAUAAAUAUAUAGUGCUUUAGUGUACCAGAUGAAUACUCGCAAGCUUUCUGUCCAGAUACAUAUUCCGGUUUCAUUUCAAUCAUUUGAAUUAACUUUUUUUAUUUUAACAAAGCUCGUUCACUUGAGUGAUUUCAUUUUCUUCUUCUGAUUUGAAGUUUCCAAAUAAAACUGAUUGUGUUUACAGAUCGAUGGUUUAUCACUUUAGCUAAAAUUUGGUUAACAAAUUUAAUAUCAUGUUGCAGUUUAAAACAAGUUUAAUAUAAUGCUAAAAGCUAGCGUUUAUUAUUUUAUUUAUUUUUGUUAUAAAUAUAGUUAAAAGUCACAAAACUAAUUAUAAGCCUUUUUGACACUAAUGAAUUUUUGGGAACUAACUCACAUAAACUUUUUUUAUAUAAGCAUUUAUUAUAUCAUAUAUUGAAUUGAAUUAAUAAUGCAUCCCUAAAAAUGUAAUUUUUGAAUUAAGCAUCCUUUAGCUUAAACAUAUUUUUAGGUAGUGUUACUUAAGUGAAGUUUAAUUUUUUAAUGUUAUGAAUGAUUAAUAUUAUGUAUUUUUGUUUAAUUUUAGUUAAUAUGAUUAUAAAAAGGUUCAUGUUGCAUGAGAUAUUUAUUUAAAAUAAUACGUAGAUUUUCAAAUAGAGUAAUUACAAUUAUUUUAAAAUAAAUACCUCAUACAAUAUGAACUGAGACGAGAAAGUGCAAAUAAUACAUUUUCUUUGGCAAUGUUGAAACUUGGGGCACGUGGAAUGAAAUGGGACAGACCCAUGUUACAACUUACAACUUGCUCCAUUAUUGGGGGCAAAGAUCCAUGCUCAUUUAUCAUGACGUAAAUAUAAUUUUUUUUUAUUAGCAUUUUGAAUAUUUAAUUUUUUUCUUCUUCUUCUAUGAAACAAAGAAUUAACAUCCGUGUUACUUUUGUUUAUUUUAAAAAAUCAUUAUUUUAAUAAUUUUAAAAUUGGAAAAAAUUAUGUACCGAAAUUAAUUAAUCAUUUUGCAAGCACUAAAUCAACUGUAUGUAAUUGGUAUGGUAUGUAUAUUAACAUUAAGUUUAUGUGAUUCAAUCUUGGAUUUGAGUUUUAUUAAUUAAAAAGAAUUCUUUUAUCAAAAGUGAUUAUAAAUAUUUUGAUAAAGAUUAAUUUUUAAUAAAAUUGAUAAAUUAUUAAUGUCCAUAUCAAUUGAUUAUAUAACAACCAACUUAAUACGUAGGAAAGAUGUUGCCAAACAAAUGUGAAGUACUAUUAGAAGGGCCAUCUGAAAUAAUAAAAAAAAAAAGAUAAAAACUAGAAUACGUAAUAUAUAUAUUGGCAUGGAUAAUGGAUGCCUCAUGCCAAAACGAUAUAUAUAUAUAUAUAUAUAUAUAUAUAUAUAUAUAUAUAUAUAUAUAUAUAUAUAUAUAUAUAUAUAUAUAUAUAUAUAUAUAUAUAUAUAUAUAUAUAUAUAUAUAUAUAUAUAUAUAUAUAUANNNNNNNNNNNNNNNNNNNNNNNNNNNNNNNNNNNNNNNNNNNNNNNNNNNNNNNNNNNNNNNNNNNNNNNNNNNNNNNNNNNNNNNNNNNNNNNNNNNNAAGGAAUUGAUGAUGAUCUCCAACCAGACACAUGCUGUUUCUACGUGGGCAUGUUUGUGAUGAGCACUUGUCUGCAGUCAUAAACUAUAUAGAAAACGAUUUCUUAUAAAUGUUUUUUCUUCUUUUUAUUCUAUUAAUAAAUAGGUUAUAUAUAUUCCUACUUUUAUUUUAUCCCUCCCUGGUCGAGUAGUGGAGCAGCAAAUUUGUAAUCUGCAUUAACUACUAUGAUAAAGUAUAUCAGGGUUAAGGAAAAUGCUAACAAUGUUACGAAUAGUUAUUUUAAUUGUAAUAUAAAAAUAAAAGACGAGUAUUUAAAAAUACUAGUUUUAAAAUUUUUAGAUUUAAUUUAAUUCAUAAAAUAUUAUCUUAAUAAUUUAAUUUAAAUAUAAUGUACUGAUAUAAUAUUUUUUAUAUUGUACAUCCAACAAAAAAUUGUUAUUUUAUAUAUAUAAGUUUGUGAACUUUUAUAGUAUAUAUAAUAAUUACCUUAAAAAUUAUUUCAAUGGUAAUUAUUUCUUAUUAGUGACACUAUAAUUUUUUUAAUAUUGAUAAUGUUAAUUAUAUGAAAAUAAGUAUAAUUAAAAAUGAAAAAAUAUCCUUUAAUUAAAUAUGAAGUUAAAAUUAUGAAUUUAACAUUGAUUGUGAAUAAAAAUAUUAACUCAAGUGUUCUGGAUAUAUAAAGAGAACACAUAUGUAAAUUGUCUCAAUUUAAAAAAUAAAGACUCAAAAUAUUUAUUAUACAAGGAAAUAUUCUUACACUACAUCGGUAUUGGUAAAUACAUGUGAAAUAGAAAAGGAUAAAUUGAAAACUUUAAGAAAAUAUUAUUUUAUUGGCAAUCAAAACAUAAAAUUAAUAUAUUUGAACAUUUUAAUUUUAAAAAUUUUAAACUUAAUUUAAUUAAUGGAAUAUUAUUUUCAUUAUAAUUUAUAAUUAUCUUAUUAUAUUUAACAUUAAUUAAAAUAAAUAAAUAUUGACUAAAAUAUUUAUAGUGUUUGAUUUUGAGAUAACUAAAUAAAAUGAAGAAUAUUGUUUGAUAUAAAAAAGUCAAUAAAAUAUGUGUCAAAACAUAAAAUAAUGUGAUUGUAUAAAGGAAACAUGUUGUGGGAUUAUAAUCAAUUGAAAAAGAAAGUAACUAAUAAGCUAGCUUUUUAUUAUUAUUUUAUUUCAACCAUAUAACCAUGUCCUUAACUUAACAAAACCCAUGAAUUCCUCUGUACAUUUAUUUAUUUUUAAUUAAAAAUUACACCAAUUGACCGAAAUCCACACAAUCUACCACAUUGCCCUCUUUUCUUAGUUACAGUUUAAUGUUAUAUAUAACUCAGAAAAGAGACCACAAAGAAAAUAAUUUAGCAGACCUACAAAAUAACAUGGCCAUGAAGAAUAUGCCAAGAUCUCUCCAAUAUAUGAUUUUGAAACUCAACCUAGUUCGUUCAAUUUGUCUGUAAUCCAAGUUUUUCUAUGGUUCGUUUUUCUUUUCACAUUCUCUCUACCACAUGGCUUUUGGAUCAAGCAGACCCCAUCUCCCACUAUAUUUUGUAUCCUCUUUUUUAUUUUUCCAUCACCAUUAUUCUUUUCAUGCAUCUCGGUAGUAAUCGCUUUCACAUAGCUACUGCAUGUGUUAUUCUCAAAAGUUGUAGAAUAUAAUGCCAAGGAGAAUUAUGAGACAUUGGAUAGGACAAAUUCCACACAUAUCACAUGCAUGGCACACAAAUGGACUAAGAGUGUUUUGAAUCCCAAAGAGUAAUAUUGGUAUAUACCUAAUAAACUUGUUAUAUAUUGGCCAACUUAUUGACAAUAUAUGUGGCAAAAUACAUAGAGAUUUAUCUGUCCACUCAAAUACUAAAGUUAUCAAUUAUUUGAUCUGUGUGAUUUUUUUAUCCUUCCGUAAAUUAUUGAGAUGGCAGUCAUUAUUUUUAAUAUUUGCCGCUUUACUCAACUACAUUGAGGGAAAAAAAACAUCUUGACUUUCUUCUUGAGUUGGAUUUUACGUAUUGUAAUUUUCUCUCUCUGCAGAAUGAUUAUAAAAGAUAUUUGUGUUUGUGGAUAUCAGUGCAGAAAAAUGCAUUGAAAAACAUCACUCCAAAAGUUGUGAUUUUCUUUUACUGACAUUUUACCCAAUUUUGAAAAAAAUAAUUAAGAAGAGAUGCUAGUAACUUCUAAUUGACAUGACCACACAUCAUAAAGCUCAAAUAAGAGAAUUAGAGUAUCAAUAUAGUAAAUCAUUAUAUAUAUUUGAUUAAAAUGAUAAAGGAUGAUUUACAGUAGGUGUAAGUGCUCUAUAUAGAGAGAGCUUGUUUCUAAUAAGCUAAUAUUUAAUCUUAAAAGUUAAGAAAACACUUUGCCAAUAUAAAUCGUGCAUCAGGGGGAUCACAAGGGACUGCAAACUCCAAUUGUUAUAAACAGCAGGGUCAUUCUUUAAUUAUUUACAAAUAAAUCUGUUAAAACUAAUUUAAAUUAUUUAUAAUGAAAUUCUAUACAAUUUUCCAAUUUAUAUGGGAAGUUGCCGAAAGCCCAAGAAAUGCUUCAGUAUGAUUGGUUUCUCAUCCUAGAGCCUAAAAUAAUAAGAAGUUAUAUAUUCUUUUUUCUUCACUUUGAACUUGUUUACAACUUGAGAUUAAUGAGAAACCAAUCACACUGAAAAAAGGUAUUUACAUUAAGGAAAGGAGAGAAUGUGACCAGUAAAGAUACUAGCUUCUGGCUUAUUCUAUUCAAUUAAUAGCUCAAAUUGCAACUUGUGUGCAAGACCUAAUUUUUAUUAUCUCUUUUCUGUUUUCUUUCUCCAUUAUACUAAACAAGAGAAAAGCUGCUUUUUCUAUCCACUUUGUCUCCUUUUUCCACCAAAACCAAACUGCAUUUUAAGUGUAAAUCUUGACAAAAAUUUGUUAUUUCUUCUCAAAGAGUUUACGUGAUUUUUGGUUGGUGGGGUCUUCUCUCACUGAUUUGACAUUAAAAAAUGCAACAUAAUUGUACAAUGACAUGCAGGUUAAUUUAUAUUUUUUAAAAAAAACUGUAUUUUCACAGACACAAUUUUUAUAUCGCGUAUUUAUCAUAAUUCUUUGCUUUUAAUUAUGUGGUAGAAUUGUUAUUAAAUUAAUUAUCAAAUUUACAAACGAAAAAUAUAAGAAUAGUAAGUGCAUUAUAUUUUACCAUUUUCCUAUUGAUUACAUGUGAUUAUGUCUGCCACACACUUGGAACAUUGAAGCUUGUAAUGGAAGGAUCGAGAAAAUAAGAUAAACAAUUUUAAAAUGUGUCCUCCCCACAUACACUAGGUCAGUUUAGUUUAAUGAAAGGGUCCCAUAUAUAUUGUAGCAGGUUCAUAUUUCCACAUUAUGAUGGAACCCUUGGACCCUACUAUAUCAGAUCAUGUCUUGCUUAUCUUUUCUUUCUUUUAUAUAUCCUCUUUUUUUUUUUUUUAUUCAGUUCUCGUUGCUUAUUAAGUAUUGUAAAUACUGUUUUUUUUUGUGCUCCUUCUAAAUACUGAUUAACAAAAUAAUAAUAAUUUAUAUAUAUUAAAAUUUACAAUAAAACACAUUUAUAUAUUUUAAUAAAAUUUUCAUUUAUAAUCCGUUAACUAAUAUUCUAAAUACACAUGUUAAUGUUAGCUUUUAUUCCAACAUAAGAUAUCACACAAAGAAUUAAUUAAAUGUUAAAUAUUAAAUUUUGGAGACAAAUGUCACAAUGAAAUGAUGGUUCGUGUCAACUGAGUUAUUAAUUUAAGAAUUAAAUGUAGAUACAGUCGAUUAGUUCUCUUUAUUAAUUGUGUUGUUAAAUUAUAUUUUAAAAAAAAAAUUAGGUUGUAUUUACUUUGUGUGAUAUCUUUCCGGUUUUGUAGAACAUAAAAAUGUAUACUACAUAAUUAAAAACAAUUAAAGAGAAUAAAAAUCUUAUUUAUUUGCAUCUAACGAUGUACUUACUUUAACGGAAAAAAAUAUGUAAUAUUUUUUAGAUUUUCAAAAUUUAAUGUAUAUAUAAUUACUUAUAAAAUUACUCUCUGUUCAUAUAUAUAAAACCUAAUUAAAUAAUUAAUUAAUAUUAAUAAAAAUAAUGUAUUUAGUUGAAAACAAUAAAUUUAUUUAAAAUUUAUAAUUUUUUCAAAAUUAUUUUUAUCAUUAAUAUUUUUUCUCUUCAAAUAAUUUAUUAAUAUAUAUAUAUAUAUAUAUAUAUAUAUAUAUAUAUUAUUUUAAUAAAAAAUAUUUCUGAUAUAAAAAUAAUUAAUAUAAGACAUCUUAUAAAAAAAACAAACAUCAUCUUAAAUUUUAAUCUUAUAAAUAGAAACGAAAAAAAUAUUUAGUUUAUUUCACUCCAAAAAUAUGAGUAGAGAUAUUCACACCCGUAUUCUAUCAACCAUCAUAUACUCAUAUAUGUGAGACUUUACUUUAUUCCACUUGAAAAAUCUCUUGAAAUUUAUAUAAUUUAGAAGUUAUUUUAAACAGGAAAAAAUCUAAAUUGAAUUGAGUAACUUUAUUUAAGAAAAUAAAUUAAGAAAAAUCUUUUUACAAUUCUUUCAUAUAUAAAACUUUCACUUUAACACCUUAUUUAAAGAAAAUUAAACUAAUUACUACUUAAAUAGACACACAUUCUUUGAGAUUAAAUGUAGGAUAAAUAUAAGUAUAUUUGUAAUUGUAAGUUUUUUUUAAGCCGUGACUUUCCCUUCCAUGAACUAGGGUCCCUCCCCCUGAAUUUUCAUGCACCACGCAUGUCUUUGCAAACUGCACUCCUAGUUCCUAAAAAUCUCAUAAUGAACAGUUCCACUUUGAGAAAGUAUAAUUGAUAAUAUUAUAUAAUAUAAACUUGAUGAUAUUUGACAAAAUACUAGUCCUGAAAAAACAAUUAAAAAAAUAUUUUUAAAAUAUUUAUAUUAGUAUCCUAUGUUGCAGUAAACCUUAUGAAUAAUUUAGAUUUUUCCACCCCCAAAAAAGUUAGAUUCUCUAAUUUUUUUUAAUAAAAUGAGUGCGAAAUUUUACCUAAUACUAAAAAAAAACUAAAGAUACUUUGUUAAAUAUUCUUCUAAAAAUAAUUAUGUACUAAUGAAGAAAAAAAAAUCUCCAGGGUGGGCAGCAAAUCUAAUAUUUUAUUUUGAUGUUUGUAAAAAAAAUUCCAACUUCUAAUAUUCAAAGUUGGAGAUAAAGAUUCCUUCAAUCGGGUCCAAAUCCGACUACAGUAUUGUGAUGUUCCAAACGGCCACCUAGAUGCAAACAUUUUUACUUCAAACAUUUUAAUCGUGUGUAUUGUGUAAUGUUACUAAGAAUAUUAUAUUAUUAUCACUUAACAGUUAAAUUCAAAUAUAAAUCAAUAUUAUAUAAAGAAAACCCUAUACAAAUAAUAAUUAAAGUACAAAUUUAAAAAAAAAGAAAAUAUUAAAUUCACUUAAUGAAUUCGAACUGAUGUAGCAACGAAGCACACAUGUCGUGAUUUCAUUAAUAUAAUAGUUUUUAAAAUUUGUUGUACAAUGGUUAAGAAAUAAAAAUAAUCGGUGUUUGGUCGACCCUGCACAUUUUUCUAAGGCAAAUACCAAUCGAUUUGAUAUUGGCCUUGUCAAGGCCAAUAGUAGUAUAUAUCUUACUUUUGAUGUUAUUCUUUCUAACGAAUAUAAAUAUAUAUUACUUUCGAUCCUUCAUAAAAAUGAGUAAUAUAUUUUUUUGUCCUAAUUAUAAAAGAUACAUGAUUAAUUCAAAUGUAUUAGUCGUUAAUUUUUAGAGAAUCAAUGUACAAUGAUAUAAAAAAAGGGUCUUGUAUCAAUUUACUCAUUUAUAUAUCAAUAUUAAACGUUGGUUAUUAGAUUUAUUUUUAUCGUAUUAUCCUAUAAAAAUUAUUAUCUUACUUUUGAUGUUAUUCUUUCUAACGAAUAUAAAUAUAUAUUACUUUCGAUCCUUCAUAAAAGUGAGUAAUAUAUUUUUUUGUCCUAAUUAUAAAAGAUACAUGAUUAAUUCAAAUGUAAUAGUUGUUAAUUUUUAGAGAAUCAAUGUACAAUGAUAUAAAAAAUGGGUUUUGUAUCAAUUUACUCAUUUAUAUAUCAAUAUUAAACGUUGGUUAUUAGAUUUAUUUUUAUCGUAUUAUCCUAUAAAAAUUAUUAUCUUACUUCAUAUGUCUCAAAAAAAGUAAUAUAUAUAUAUAUAUAUAUAUAUAUAUAUAUAUAUAUUUAUAUAUCUUUUUUUUUAAUUUUGUAAAUGAGUGUCAUAGAAAUAUAUUAAUUUAUUCAUUUUUACUUUUUAUUAUAUACUUUAAUUUUUAAAUCCGAUGAAUUGAACACUAAUAAUCUGUUUUAUGUUUGGUUUCAAGUUUAGAAGUCUUUACCUCUUAAGUCGAUGAAACUAUAUGUCUAUAUUCACGAAUUGGAAAAUUGUACAUCAAAAUGUAAUUAAAUUGUAAUACAAACACAUACUUAAAGAGUCUGCUUAAUAUAUACCACAUGAACUACGUUAAAUACCGAAAACCUAUGAGAGUGAGAUUGACAUUCAACAUGCCAAAAAAAAAAUACUACCAAACAUGUAAAAACACACAUUUAAUAGUUGGUGCUGAUGCACGGCAAAAGAAAUUAGUGCAAUAAAUACCUUUGGCAAUUAAUUCAAAACACUUGGUAUAACGAAUUGUGAGUAUGGCAAGUUUGUCAUCUGCUCUUAUUCUUCCUAACACGUUUGGACCCAUCUUAUCACAAAACAUUAUUAGAGGCCCUACCAUCUGAGGUAUCAGUUUUUAUUAUGCCACUUGACCCUUUUACUUGUUUAGGUUGAUGACUUUGGGAUGCUGAGAAUAGUGUUAAUUUGUCAUUUGUUCCAUAAUUUUUUUAAAUAAAAUUUAAAGUUAUUGGAUAUUCUAUUAAAUACAAAUACUUUAAUAUAUAUUAUAUAUAUUUUUAUAAUAUAAAUAAACUAAUAUUUUAGCCUAUGCAUUGCACAUAAUAAAUGUUUAUUGUAUAUAACUAAUAUUUAUAAUAAAUAAUUAUUUUAAAUACAUAAUUACAUUAUAAUUAAAAAUCAUAUCAUAAUAAAUAAAUUUUUUUAAACAUAUAAUCUAUAUUUUAAAUUUUUAAUCUAAUAUGAUAUUUAUUUUUAGUUAUUGAUACUUUAUUUAAUGAAAUAUUGAAAUACAAUUUAGAACUAAAGAUAUUAAAAAUAAUAAAUUGAAGGAGAUAAAAAAAGUAAUAAAAAAAAUCUAAAAAUACUCUCGCUGAAGUUAUUAAGUGUUGUUAAUCUAAUUGUUGAAUAUGCACACAAAAUUUUAGAUAAACAUCUGCUUAUAUUUUAAAAAGUAUAUUAUACGUUAAUUAAAUUUAUCAAAUAAAUAGAUUCACGCACUUCUUCUGUUCUCUUUCUCCACACACACACAAUUUUUUUAGUUAAUAUAUUAAAUUAAAAAAAAUUAUAUUCUAACUAGUUACAACUUAAAUUUAUGAAAAACUCUCCAAAACGUAUCUUGUUAAUAAAUUUAAAAAAAAGUUUCCAGCCCCUCAUUUAUUUUGACUAACUUUAUUUGCUUUCCACAAGACCACAGGUCCACAACUAACACUUACGUUUUCAACAAUGAAAAAAGAAGUCGUAAACCCUUUAAUAAAGGAAAUGAUAUUUUAUAAAAUAAUUGUAAUAAAAUUGAUUAUUAUUUACACAAGACUUAAUAUUCUAAGCGUCAAAUAUCCAUAUAGAUUAUGAGUAUAAUAACAAUUUUAUACUGUUGAUUUGAAAUAACACUUUAAUAUUAUAUUAUUCAUUUUAAAUAAUAAAUUAUUUCUUGGUAUCAAUAAUAUGCAGUUAAAUUCUUACUUUGUUAUUUUUAUAGACUGUCAAUGGUACGGGAGUAAGCUUCUCACUUUCUCUGUCGGGAUUUUUUCAGUCACAUUCUUAAUUGGCGCCCGACAAUCAAAUGAAAAGUUACUUGCGGAAACGCACAUACUUUUCAGACUGCACGUAGACAACAUCAAGAACAAAAGAAAUCAAAUAACCCAAUCUUUCAUGAAAUUUUUUAAACAUAAACAAUUUCACUUUUUUUCUUUCUUUCUAAAGUAUAGUAAAUAUACGUCACAUAGAUACGAACACAUUAUUAUGAUUUACAUAAAUUGGGUAACAAAUUGAGAGAGAAUAUAAUUUAUUUAAUUAUAUAUGUUAUUAGUUUUACAACCCCCUGCAAACGCAGCUGGUUGAAAACUACAUGAUCAUGCAGCGAGGGCGCAGUGCUUUACAACUGUUAAAAUACACCGAUAUUCAUAAACAAAAGAAAAAAGACAAGAAACCAAUCCCUAUCAUAGAAAAUUAUAAUGAUUUAACAUUUUUUUUAUAAAAGACAAAACGCCGAAACUUUGCUUCCAAUUCUUCUCUUUCGUGCAUCGCGAAGCGCUUCUUCUUCCUUUUCUAUCGCUUUCUUUUAUUCGUUGCACAUAUUCUUCAUAUCCUACAAAAAAUAUGAACAUAUUAUUACCAGUGUCGGUCAAUGUCAUGAUGAAGUGGUCCCUUGACUAAAACCAAACGAGAAAAUAUCGUUUUCCAUAUCAGACUAGAACCUCGAUAGGGAUCACGAGGGUUUGGUACUCGUUUUUUGGGAACAAUUAAUAUAUGGANNNNN